rnacentral:lncRNA from 1 species
AACACACACACCUCACAAAACUCUCUCUAAAUCACUCAAGGAUCAUCCACUCUUCUUCAUCCAAAAUCUCGAAAAUUUGGCUUGAAGUCUAAGGAUCUUCAUCAAGUAAUUCAUCAUCUAAGGUAAGUUAAUGGCUAACUUAUGAUCUAACUCCCUUCAUUUCAUCAAAAUCUCUUCUAAAUCCAUUAAACCUUGUGAUCUUGCACCUUAGAAGCUCUUUAAAUUCGAGAUCUUCCAAGAAAGGUUGCUAGGGCCGAAAAUAACAACAAACUCUUCUCUUUUCUUCAUCAAAACCGAUCCACAACUCAAGGUGAGUUUUAUACCCCCUUCUUUUCGGUUUUUAUGAGUUUUAUGGGGGAGAAUACAAGUAAAUGUGUAGAUCUAUGUGUAAAUGUAUGCUAUGUGUGAUUUGAUGCAUGUAUGUGUGUGAUAUCAUGUGUUUGUGAUGAAUAUGUUAUCCAAAAAGUGUGUAAAUACCGAGAUCUAAAACAUGAGGAAGGAAAUAAACAUAACUUAAACUAUUAUACACUAAUCAAGUCAAGAAAAAUAGUUUAUAUGGUUAGGAUGAUCACUCUUGAACAUAAAACUCAUUUUUGGGCAUAAAAUGUCAAAAAUACAAAACUUAGGGUCCAAACCGACAAAUUAUAAUUUUUGGAGGGUCAAAAGGGUCCAAACAGAUUCUAUAAUAAUUUUUCUGAACAACAACAUUUUUGAGGGGCUUAAAAUGUAAAUUUUGAAGUUAAUGGGCUAAAUUUGGGCUUUUCGGCCCAAUAAGCUUCAAAAUGCGAAAUUUCUAAAUUUGAGGGGUUGAAAAUGCAACUUUCUGUAAAACAGGGGAUUUGAAGUGAAAUAAAACAAUUCCAAUGGUCAAAAAUGCUUUUCAAAUUCAAAAAGGAUCAAAAACGUAAAAAUUUUCUAUUUUGGGCCAAAACUGUCAAAGUUGCGAAAUUGAGGGUUUUAACCGAGAAAACAUUAUUCUGGAAGGACUAAAGCUGUUUACAAAACAAUAUUGGGGUAAAAAUGUCUUUUCUACAAGUUUAUGACACAAAAGUGUCAAAAUAAUGUUUUAAGGACUAAAAUGAAAUUCUUUUAUAUAAAGGACUAAAAGUGCUAUUUUUAUAAAAGAAAGGUUGUGAAAAAGUAAAAAUCUUACUUUUAAACGAAUUAAUUCAUUAAGACAAAAUACAAGAUCCACGACUACCGACGAAGCAUAAAAACAAAUACACUCUCAACACCCAAUAUCGUUACAAAACGAAUUGAUUCAGUCUCGAAUCAAUAACAAAACAAAAUUCAAUAAAUCAUAGGAUUUCAAUAAACACGCGAUAACUACGAGGAGUCAACGUUCAAUCUUUGGGCUUGAAAGUUUCAAAUCGUGCUUGUUGGGCCUUGCUAGCCCAAUAACAUGAUCUUUGGGCCCGAAGGGAACGCGCUUACAUGUUAAUGGGCCUUCUACGACCUAGUUUCAUGUAAAAGGACUUUCAAUAGCUCUAUUGUGCUAUUGGGCCCUAAUGGCCCAUUAGUAAUGCUAGUGAGGUCGAGAAGUUAAAUGCAAUUUGGGCCAAGUGCCUUACGCAUUCCCGAUAGCCUUGAAUAACUUAUGGAAAUAAAAGGGGGCUUUGUACCCUCCUUUCUCCUCGGUUGUUGGGCUUAUGAGAAUUCGAGUAAGCGGAUUCGUGACGUUAAACAAGAGAAGUCAGGGUGGUUGGAUUAAGUGAGUAGUACGGACGACGCCUCUAGGAUCGUUCGUAAUUUGUAGUUAUAAACUAGUCAUUUUCAGUAAUGCGUGAUUGUACGACUCACAAACCCUAAUUAAUCCAAUGUCACCUGGGUAAUCAAAAUCAAUCGUCGUAUCGGUAUAACAAUAAUCAAGACAUGUAAUUUACGUAUUGGGAAAACAUCGGGUUUUCCCUGGGAGUUCAACAUUUUAACUUAUGUGAUGUAUACAAAGUUCAACAAUUAUAUAUGUUUUCAAAAUCAACAAGCACAUUUAUGGAUCUCCACACUUUUUAUAAACAAAUAUUCUUUUCAGAAGAUAUCGGAUUUUCUAGGUGUUUCAAACUUCACAAAAAUCAUUUUUCCAUAACAUUUCUUAUGAACUCACCAACAUUUCAUAUGUUGACGUUUUUCAAAAUAACUUGUAUUCUCAGGUAACAGGUAAGACGAAGAAUAAGUACCAAGUUAUGUCAUGGUGUUUUGCUUAGAUUUCCUAAUGAACGGUUUAUGUUAUGGAAUUGUAAUGACUAAAACAAUGUAAUAGAUGUAAACAAUAUCAGUUGUACUAUUUCAAUGCAUGGUGAUGAAUGAUGUUAUGAUUCAUGUAUAAUCAUUGUGAUGGUAUUCAAUUUAAGUCACAAGAUCCCUCGGACGUUUCCGCCGUCCGGUUCGGGGGUGUGACAAUGUAUAACUAAUAUGCUAGUCUUACCGUUAGUAGGCCUCAUUCACGAAGCCAAUCUAUAAGGGGGGGGGGGGNNNNNNNNNNNNNNNNNNNNNNNNNNNNNNNNNNNNNNNNNNNNNNNNNNNNNNNNNNNNNNNNNNNNNNNNNNNNNNNNNNNNNNNNNNNNNNNNNNNNNNNNNNNNNNNNNNNNNNNNNNNNNNNNNNNNNNNNNNNNNNNNNNNNNNNNNNNNNNNNNNNNNNNNNNNNNNNNNNNNNNNNNNNNNNNNNNNNNNNNNNNNNNNNNNNNNNNNNNNNNNNNNNNNNNNNNNNNNNNNNNNNNNNNNNNNNNNNNNNNNNNNNNNNNNNNNNNNNNNNNNNNNNNNNNNNNNNNNNNNNNNNNNNNNNNNNNNNNNNNNNNNNNNNNNNNNNNNNNNNNNNNNNNNNNNNNNNNNNNNNNNNNNNNNNNNNNNNNNNNNNNNNNNNNNNNNNNNNNNNNNNNNNNNNNNNNNNNNNNNNNNNNNNNNNNNNNNNNNNNNNNNNNNNNNNNNNNNNNNNNNNNNNNNNNNNNNNNNNNNNNNNNNNNNNNNNNNNNNNNNNNNNNNNNNNNNNNNNNNNNNNNNNNNNNNNNNNNNNNNNNNNNNNNNNNNNNNNNNNNNNNNNNNNNNNNNNNNNNNNNNNNNNNNNNNNNNNNNNNNNNNNNNNNNNNNNNNNNNNNNNNNNNNNNNNNNNNNNNNNNNNNNNNNNNNNNNNNNNNNNNNNNNNNNNNNNNNNNNNNNNNNNNNNNNNNNNNNNNNNNNNNNNNNNNNNNNNNNNNNNNNNNNNNNNNNNNNNNNNNNNNNNNNNNNNNNNNNNNNNNNNNNNNNNNNNNNNNNNNNNNNNNNNNNNNNNNNNNNNNNNNNNNNNNNNNNNNNNNNNNNNNNNNNNNNNNNNNNNNNNNNNNNNNNNNNNNNNNNNNNNNNNNNNNNNNNNNNNNNNNNNNNNNNNNNNNNNNNNNNNNNNNNNNNNNNNNNNNNNNNNNNNNNNNNNNNNNNNNNNNNNNNNNNNNNNNNNNNNNNNNNNNNNNNNNNNNNNNNNNNNNNNNNNNNNNNNNNNNNNNNNNNNNNNNNNNNNNNNNNNNNNNNNNNNNNNNNNNNNNNNNNNNNNNNNNNNNNNNNNNNNNNNNNNNNNNNNNNNNNNNNNNNNNNNNNNNNNNNNNNNNNNNNNNNNNNNNNNNNNNNNNNNNNNNNNNNNNNNNNNNNNNNNNNNNNNNNNNNNNNNNNNNNNNNNNNNNNNNNNNNNNNNNNNNNNNNNNNNNNNNNNNNNNNNNNNNNNNNNNNNNNNNNNNNNNNNNNNNNNNNNNNNNNNNNNNNNNNNNNNNNNNNNNNNNNNNNNNNNNNNNNNNNNNNNNNNNNNNNNNNNNNNNNNNNNNNNNNNNNNNNNNNNNNNNNNNNNNNNNNNNNNNNNNNNNNNNNNNNNNNNNNNNNNNNNNNNNNNNNNNNNNNNNNNNNNNNNNNNNNNNNNNNNNNNNNNNNNNNNNNNNNNNNNNNNNNNNNNNNNNNNNNNNNNNNNNNNNNNNNNNNNNNNNNNNNNNNNNNNNNNNNNNNNNNNNNNNNNNNNNNNNNNNNNNNNNNNNNNNNNNNNNNNNNNNNNNNNNNNNNNNNNNNNNNNNNNNNNNNNNNNNNNNNNNNNNNNNNNNNNNNNNNNNNNNNNNNNNNNNNNNNNNNNNNNNNNNNNNNNNNNNNNNNNNNNNNNNNNNNNNNNNNNNNNNNNNNNNNNNNNNNNNNNNNNNNNNNNNNNNNNNNNNNNNNNNNNNNNNNNNNNNNNNNNNNNNNNNNNNNNNNNNNNNNNNNNNNNNNNNNNNNNNNNNNNNNNNNNNNNNNNNNNNNNNNNNNNNNNNNNNNNNNNNNNNNNNNNNNNNNNNNNNNNNNNNNNNNNNNNNNNNNNNNNNNNNNNNNNNNNNNNNNNNNNNNNNNNNNNNNNNNNNNNNNNNNNNNNNNNNNNNNGAAAUGGUUAAAUCAAGAAGUCAAUCAUACUUCGUUCCAAAAACAAGUCUUAGAGUUAAGAUUGUGACAUUGAGUGACAAGUCUUAAGAAGGUUUAUAACAUUCAUCAAAUGUGGAAAGAUGUGAUGUCUUGGAUAAGACAAAGACCAACUAGGACCAAUUUUGUGAAGUGUUUUGUCUUGAUAAAAGCUACACUAACUCUUGAAUAUUUGUUUGUCGAGAAAUGUUUAUUGACAAGAGAAUCUUAUAUGUCAAGGAGUCCGUGGGAUUCUUAAUAGUCUUGAAAGGUUUCAAGAUCAAAUCAAGAAUAAACCUUAUCAAUCAUCACUAGCACACGAAUUAAGGUUUACAACCUAUCGUGUUGACACUAUUUUGUUUUCUGUGCCAUUCCAAUUGAGUUUUCUAUAUACGUGAGUUCUACGAGUUCUCAAUGGAUUGUAUAGGGGCAAGACACCUUGUUCAAUGGAAAGUAAAUUGAAAUGAAGGGGUGAGCUGCUCAAUAACUUGGAAGUAAUGGUGGGACCCUUGAUGGCAAGAAAUUAAGAAGAACAAGUUCUAUCCAUAAGAGUUUGGAUUUGUCACUAACAUUAUCUUGUGAUUAUGGUUAUGACGAAUUCACAUGGAUGGGAAUGUAUACACCACAAAAUCUAAGUGUCAUAAGGUUUCUUUCAUUCAUGAGAAUGGUUGUGAGGAAACGCUUUCACUAAGAGAGAUUUUGAAGAUAGCAUUAUGUGAUUUGGGUUUCUCAAAUUCAACUAUGAGUAUGGCAUACCUCUUCAUAGUUCGAAUUGUGGGAAAUGGCAAAUGGGUCUGAACAUUUUAGACUUGUUGAUAUGAGUCCUAGAAUCGUUUAGACAUAUACAUAUGAGCUGUCCAAGGAAAAGUAUAUGAGGUUGAGAAACUUAGUUAAAGUCUUAUCUAAGCAUCUAGUAUUAGAAAUAUGAACUUAAGAAAUUGUUUUCGAGAAGUUCAGUUGAUUUCUGAAUACAUGUCGAAGCUAGUGGGAGCAUAAGUGUUAUGCUGGUAAAGAAAUAAUCAUCAUGUAAGUAGGAGCAUGAUUAUUAUGGUAAGUAUUGCAAGUUAGCAAUAUUAAUUAUAGAAAACAAGAGUUAAACUUUGUAAAGUUGUAAGAGUUGAAAAGUUGUUUUUCUAUAAUUAAGCAAGAGAAUAUUGUACUUCGUUCAAAAUCUAAAGCUUAGAUUGAGAAAUUUUAAUAAAUUUAGUCAAAGGAUACAUAGUUUCUUCUUAAAUUUUGAUUAUGAUUACGGUAUCCCUCUUCAUAGUUCGAAUUGUAAGAACGUGACACAUAAAAUAUUAUGGCAGAAGAUUGAUAGAGUAUCGUAUCUUUAUGUAAGACAUUAUGCAUUGUGUCCCAUACGCUUCGGGUAAAGGAUCGAUUGCAAGUGCUAUAAUAUUUGAGCAUUAUAAAAUUUUUCUAAAUGUCUAGCGCAUUAAGAGGGAAAAAGGACAAGAAUCGGUUUUGACUAAGAUAAUUAAACAACUGUCAAAUGACGAUCCAAAAGUUCGUUGAGGAUUGGUCGCUUGUGAGUAGUUGGAAGUAUGGUAUUGAAUGGACCAUAUCGACAUUAUUAUGAAUAGAUAAGAUUCUAUUAAGAAUGAGUUGUCAUAUGGUAAAUAUGGAAAUGUUUCCAUAAUUGGGAGUUGGAAAUUAAGAAUUUAUGUCUAGAUUAGAAAAUUUUAUGCAAAAGGAUGUUCAAAGGAAUGUACUUUGAGUGAGAGACAUCGCAUCUAUAGAAUUGUUCUGUAACAAUUUUUGAUAGAGUACCUUGUGAUUUCGUUGGCCGAGUCUUCGUGAUUUUUGUGUCGUGACUUCACAAGAGGAUCAUUGCAUAAAAUAAUAGAAUUUGACAUAUUCUAAAAGGUGGCAAGAAUUUGGUAUUCUUACACUAAUUAUAAGGAUUGGGGAUUGUGAAAUGAGUUGCAUUUGAAAAGUUUCAAUUGAUCUAUUUCACAAAGUAUGGACCAUAGGAAACCAAAGUGUGCAUGCUUGGAGCAUGGGACAAUUGUGGUUAUGAUUCGAGUUAUAAAGUUGANGACAAUUGUAGUAAUAAUUCAAGUAAUAAGUUAAUUAACCGAAACAACAAAUAAUGAGUAAUCGAUAUGGUGAUAAAUAAAAGGUGUUUUAUUUAUACUCAAAGGUUUGGGACCAUAUAGGAUUAGUAUUAUUCUUGUGUUUCACUUUGCAUGUUUUGACUUCCUGAAUAAUUAAUUAUUUCAGAAUAAUCAAAUUAUUCGAAUGGUCCACAGUCGUUCAUAUGUUGGAAGUAGGUAUGAAUGAAGACUGUCAUGAAUUGGUUUGUAGAUUGUCUAAAGUGUAUUAGACAUAGCAAAGGUUUGCUGCAACGUUCAUGAGUGCUUAUGAAUAUGAUUUUGAGCAUUGGAUUAAACCCACGCUCACUUGGAUCGCUUCAUGGAUUUUAUCACGAGCGAUUGGUGAGACGAUAAUAUCUUGUAUUCUUGAAACCGAGAUGUGUGAGUUGUAUCUUGCGAAUCGGUUACACAUUGAUAAUAUGUAAACGCACCAGUAACUUGGUGUUAUAAAACUUAUUGUUGUGUGUGAUUUGGUGAGUGAGUGCAAGCAAACAUUGAGUCGAAGUUUAUCCGUUCCUUUUACCCAAAGUGGGAUAAAAGCGAUAUCUGUGGGCCCCUCGAUGAUUUAGUGAUGACAAACGUAAAUGCUCGGCCGGGCUAGGGCUAAUUUGAUUUGUUCAAUUAGUCAGUCGUCGUAAAUCGGAAAUCGGGAAACAACACAUAGACUGAGAGAAUGAUUUCAAUCCAUGUCUCACGUCUAUACGAUAUCUAGAAUGGAGGAAUAUAUGAUCCCUUAUCUAAAGGACAGGUUACUGAUAAGAUCAGAGUUCGACAGCGUCUUUGAGAGCUACGAUUGCUAAUCGGGUAGUACUUACUAUUAUAGUUACUAGACUUAUCCAAGUGGGAGACUGUUGGAUUAGUGUCUAAGCCCGUAACCAUAUUUGUCAAGUACUUGACCCAAUUGUGCAUGGUCCUUUUGGGUUGCCUUCACCAAAGCAACUUGACUGGAGAAAUAAUAGAGAAAAAGGUUAUUAUGAUACAUUAAUAUGUUAUAAGAAUAAUAUAUUAAAGGAGAAAUCAUAUUUGUUUAAUUAAUAUUGGUCAAUAAUUAGUUAAGAAUUAAUUUAGUGAUCAAGUGUAAUUAAUUAAACUAGAGGGGCUGAAUUGUCAUUAUGUGAUAGUUACAAAAUAUGGUAAUGGUUAUCCUAGAUAUAGGUUGGACGAAUUCAAGGGAUAAGAUAUCCUUGAAAUCGUCCAAAGGAUAAGGAUAAGGGUUUUCAAGGCUUAUCUUAUGGUUACUUGGUGGGCAAGAAACUAGAUAAGGAUAAGGACUGAAACCCUAAUCUCUACACCUAUAUAAAUACCCCUAAGGCCAUAAGAAUUCGUCCAUGCCUUGUCUAGGGUUCCUAGGGACGAGUUUCAUACCUUUUCCCUCUCUUUCUUGCCUCUCCAUUUGCUCUUGGUGUUUGUGAGCCAUUAGAGGUACUACACUUGUGGUACUUGCUUUCAAAGACAAGAAGAUUCAAGAUUUAAGUUGUUAUUACAAUAUAACAGCAAGAGGUAUGUAUUUCAUCUACUAUAUGAAUUUCGAAAUUCCUAGAAGCAUUUUAGGGUUCUUCAAGUGUUCAUGAUGUUGUAUAACUAAUAGUGAUAACAUAGAUCCAACUCUAGGGUUGCAUGCACAUAUAGGAUGUUUGUAUAAAACCCAUCACAUAUGUGGGUGUUUUGUGUAAUAACUUGUGAAACGGGGUAUUAUUUUUUCUGGUAGUGGAUGGUAAAAUGUUCACGAGAUGUUCAACAAUUUGAAGAGCCUCAACCGAAUACCUGGGAAGGAGAUAAGCUUGAAGAAGAAAGGUACGAACAAUAUUGUUAAUUGUACAUAACAUGCAUUUAGAUUUACCAUUUUGUUGGGCGGUGUUAGGACAAGAGAAACACAUAUGAAUGCCAUUUUGAUCACAAAGUCGUUGGAAUUUAUGAUUGUGGUACUCACCCCCAUUUUCACAUUGGAUAGUUUUAAUAUCGGUUUAAAAAUGGUUUAAAAUAAAAGCACGAAAGUGAACAAAUUUGGAGUAGACAUCAGAUUUGAUACGUAAAGGAUAGAUCCACACAUAAUGCGAAUAAUCAUCAAGAAAGAUAACAUAAUAUUUAAUUCCACUAAUACUAGUGACCGGAGAGGUCGACACCUCGGAGUAAACAAGUUCAAAAAGAGACAAAUAAAUAGACUUUGACAAACUAAAUGGUAAUUUGACAUGUUUGCGCAUUUGGAACGAAUCACACAAACUAUGUAACGUAUUAUUUAAACAAGAAAUAAAACGACAAGCAACUAAUUUCUUGAACUCAUGAUAGUCGGGAUGGUCGAGACGCUGAUGCCAAACAACUGGAGCAAUGGAGACAAAGGCUUGAGGAUUCGGUUUUGUAACAGGAUAGAGUUCUUCGGUGCUAUCACAUCUCAUGAGAAUUUAUUUGGUGUGUAGAUCCUUCACAGAAAAACCAAUAGGUCAAAUUCAAUAGAACAACAAUUUUCACAUGUAAAAUGACGAACAUAUAUUAUUUUUAAUGAUUUGAGGGGUUAUUAACACAUUUUUUAAAGUAAGAGUACGAUAUGGAUUAUAGUGCAGAAGAGUAGCGUGCCUGACUUUAUUUAUAGGAAUGCAGGAUCCAUCCCCAACUAAAAAGGAACAUGGAAACUUGAAAUUAUCAGAAACAGAUUGAAGGAUGCCUGCAUCCGAAUGAAGAUGAGUGGUAGCCCCGGUAUCCAUACAUGACAUCCCCAAUUUCUCGUCCAAAAAAGACCGAUUUAUUUAUGCUUAUUUAAAAUCAGAGUAUCAUUUUUAAAGAACAAUAUUGCUGAAUUGAUUCCCAAAAACAUGAUAAAAGCAUUUCCAAAGAAAUGUAUUUUAUUUAUAUUAAAAAAUUUGGGAUGUAAUCGUCAAUACAAUAAAUAAGCAUAAACGGGAAUAACAUAGGUCUUACAAACAUCUAUUAUUCUACCGGCCUAAAAUCCAUAAAUCUCUCAUCCAAUCAUCACACCUAUGUUAUUGUGCCACUACCUGUAAUACAAUAAACAGAGUGGGUCAGGAUUGGGGGCAUGUUGAGCAUAUAUGGUUUUCAGCCCACAAAUCCACAAUAACCAAAUCUUUUAAUUAUAUUUUAUCAUUCGAAUAUCAACCUAAUUACCCCAUCGCGCUAUCCUUACUCCAUGUCCCUAACAUCUAUUAUCAAGGACCUAUCCUAAGGAUCAUCUUCAGUAUAGACAAUAAUGCUUAGGGCAUUCCUCAUCAAUAUACGUCAAUAAGGCAAUCAUGGGGGGAUGGAGUACGCCUGGUGAACACUAAGUUCAAAAACACCUACAGGUUGCGAGCCUGAUAGCAUUCCAUUGGACUAUCUAGAAUAGUCUGUGGUCAUCAUCUAUACUCUACUAGACGAUUUGAUCAUCUUUAAAGUCAAGGCCUCUGAUCAUCUAUAUCAUCUUUCGUCUCUCAUCAUCUAUAUCAUCUUACAUCUAGCCAUCUUUACCCAAUAUAUUUAUAGGUAAUAAAAAUACAUAUAAAGUUUAAAAUCAAAUAAAACAUGUAUAUAUCAUUCAUCUAGCAAUGAUAUCAGGAAAAUAGAUAAUAAGCACAUAUAGCAUGUAAUUAUCUUAAAUACUUUAUAUCUAUGUGUAAGAUGAAAGUAACCAUGCAUUCCCUUGUUGAAGUGAACGACUCGAAAUCCAGGCAAAGCUUCACUUCUAGCAACUAACCUUUCCUUUGACGUGACCUAAUAUCAUUAACUCUAAGUCUUAGCCUAACAUUUCUAAUGAUAGACUAAACCUUUCAAUCAUUCCAAUGAAUACCGAUAGUUCUAUCAAAUAAUGAUCAGCCAGGCAGAAUAGUUGGGAGGCAGGAUCAUUUCGGCAUAAAGCUGUUAUGAAAUCCAACAACCAAGCCAAAAUGACCAUUCUAGAUACCUCUCCCGUAAGUAGCUUAUUCAGUAUUACGACUUGGAAUCAUUGAUAAAUCUUAUUUAUAGGUUCAUAAUAAUGGCUUAUGACAAUAAAUAUAAGUUACACUAAAAAGGCUAGAGUGUAGCUUAACAUACAAAGGUUUUAGCGAAAACUGGGAAAUUUGAACUGUUAGAACUAUGGUCUGAUAGCUACUAGAUGUCGGGCUCCUAGGGACAUCUAAACUUGCCAAAAUACCCUAAACUCUAAGAUGAAUUCGGACCAAAAAAUUAGAAAUAGAGAGAUAGAGAGAGAGAGAGAAAGAGAGAUGUAAAGAAGUUGUGGGAUGGAAUGAGCUCAUGACAUCUAUUUAUAGUCAGGAAAUUGGACAUGCAUGACACACAAGGAGGGUGCACGUCGUGCAUUUGGGCUACAUUGUUCCCCAAGUCUGCUGCCACAUGUCAGGUGCAGAUUCAUCUACGCCCCUCCUUCUAGAACGUCAGAUGCGUCGCACCACCCAUUUGUGCGCUGCACGCUUCGCAUGGAUUUCCACUUCUUUAAAAUAUCAUAUAAUCUUCAUACGAGCUCUGUAUUUUAUGUAUUUUAUAUCUAUGCAUAGCUAUCGACGAGAUCUACAACUUUCCUUUUGACUUCGUCAACUAAUUUUGACUUUAUUUUUAAAGUUAUAUUUUUAACAGUCUUAGACUGUUAAAGUCCGUUAAAAAUUUAUAACUAUAUCAUCUGAUGUCCAUUCUCGGCUAUCUUUAUAUUGAUGGAAUCCUAACAACGAGAUAUUCAACUUUCGUUUAAAUCGUUUUGGUUAACAAUGUAACGAUCUAAAAUUUUAUAUCAGUGUGCACACUGCUGCGCCGAAUCUUAGAAAAAAUCAUAACUUCCUUUACUAAACUCAGAUUUAGAUGAUAUAUAUACGUACAAAUUCGCUUUUAUGAUAACUAUGAAUUUCGCUUAUAUUACUAAGGCUAAUAAUUGACCUAUCUUCGAUUUCCUAUUUACGAUAUCCAUAGUCAUGUCAGUUCAAGCAUGAAACUUCAACGGAUCAUAACUUCUUCAUUCUAAGUCCUUUUUGAGUGCUCCUUAUCUCUAGAAUUCUUGUUACGACUACUACGUCUUACUCUUAGUGUAUCCAUCCUAAUCAGUAAUCUAUUUAGAUGCAAAUUAUAUUCCUAUUUCAAUUACGAAGCUAAACACACACACACACAUACACUAUAUAUAUAUAUAUAUAUAUAUAUAUAUAUAUAUACACACAUACAUACAUACAAGGUUGUAGUACUCGUUACUGAGUACCUAUUCGGCCAACUGCCGAGUGGCGAGUACUCGGGAGUAUUCAGAUUCAGUGAUUCAUGUUGAAAUAUUUUCAGGAAAAUUAUAAACGUCAAAAUCAUAAGCUAAAAUCAUAAGUUGAUUGAAAUAUAUAACAAAAUUAGAUACAUGUGAAUAAACAAAAACUAAAAAACACACAAUGGCCUCACAUUGUGAAUAAUUACUAAAAGUUUAAGAUAUAUAUGUAGUAAUAAUCACAUUUGUGUGUACUAAAUAAUAAAUCAUUAUGUAUAUUAUACAUAUUAAUCACCGAAUCGGCUGAUUUUUAUAACACUACUCGCUUUAGUAGGGGCUGAUCGGGGAGUACUUGGAUUCUGUAACUCGCAUCGUUAAGGGGUCGAGUAGGGAGUACUCGGCCGAGUAAUCGGCCAACUCGGUGAGUUUUACAACACUAUAUAUAUAUAUANUCACACCCCAAAACCGGAACGGCGGAAACGUUCUGGGGUGGAUGACGUCAUGUCAAGUAUCACAACAUAUGCAGUAUAGUAAUCAAAGUACAACAACCAUUGCAUUAAUAGUAAUAGUUUUACAUAAGUUACAUUUCAUGGCAAUAUCAAAGUAAUACAAGUAAUAAUAUGGGUGCAGCUUGGUACUAGGCUGUCUCCACAAAAGCUCCCGGAAUGUACCUGUCUAUCGCUGACCUGAGAAUACAAGUUAUUUUGAAAGCAAGUAUCAGCAUUUUUAUAAAUGCUGGUGAGUUCAUAAGUAUUUUGUGUCAUUUGUGUAAGGAAUCCUUUUAUUCAAAAUAACUUUAUAAAAAGUAGUAGUUUAGAAUCUACAGUGUAUUAGCGUCCUUUCCAGAAAAUCCUAUAUUUUCUAAUUAAAAGCAGUCUUCUACCAAGACUCGACAGUGUUAUGUUUUAAAGAGAAAUUUUCCCUGAAACACUAUCAUUACCAAAAUACGAUAUUUGACUUUAAAGAAAGUAGGAGAAUGUCACUAGUAAAAAUACUAGGGGAAAAUAACAUAUGCCUCAGCAGAAAAUAUUGCUGACUAAGGCAAAAGAAAUCAUAGACUCCAGGAGAGUAUCGAAUGAAUGAUACGCCUGCUCAGUCUAAAAAAAGGAGACACAGACCCCAGACGGUAUCAAUUGUACGAUACGGCUAGCAAGGUCUAAAACAAAGAAACACGGACCCUAGAUAGUAUCAAAUGAAAGAUACAGCUAGCAAGGUCUAAAACAGAGAAACACAGACCCCAGACAGUAUCAAAUGAAAGAUACAGCUAGCAAGGUCUAAAACAAAGGGAAAGUCUUAAAUGGGUUGUUUCAAGAAUACAAUGUUAGAUUCUCGUUACCUUAAGGCCAUGAAUUAUAAGGUAAGCAUGGAGAUACUCAUAACCAUACUGAUUGACACUAGAGUACUUCACGCCCUGCAAGCGUCGGAAUAAAUAUGACAUUUGUCACCCCUUGGCUUGGUAGGCCGUGGACUGUAGCUAGCAGUCAGGGUGUGCGAGUGUCAGUCCCGUAUAGAUCUAUACACACAAUGCCCGCUCUCCCUACAGGAGACUCUGGUUACCAACUCGACGACGGGGAGAUUCGUGUCUUGAAGAUGCAUCUCGUAAUCUGAAUUCUAUUAGAGGCGNUAACAAUAUAGACUCACAAAUGAACUGACUCCUUUGGAAUUCUCGUACUAGAAAGAGUAAAUAGAACCUCCUAACUAUUCUUAUAAUAGUUACUAGUGUCUCUGAUCUAUGAAUGAUGAAUGGAAGGAUACCCUUGCUACCCAAGGGAAAUGAACUGGUCGAUGUAAACCUUUAUGUCUAUACGUGUAUACAUGAUAUAUAACUAAUGUUUAAACGACCUUCGGACGGAUAUCCGAUACCCACCAGACCACAUCCCAACGAGGAAAAGGAAAUAGGGCGAACUAGCCUUCCUAAAUCUUUUAAACAUUAUUUAUAUAACUAUACAAGUACAGUCAUGCAUUUAACGAAGUAGAAGCCUAGAAGUAUAGAAGAAAAUUUUGGUAAAACCUUUGGAAAACCUUUAAAAAUAAGAAUUUACGACUUGAUAUCGUUAUGUAAAACAAGCUUUGAAAACCGUUCAUAAACACGUUUUGAACAUAAUUUAAUAACACAGUAUAAGUAAAGAAAACCUUUGUUUAAAACACUGUUGUAACUGUUUAGAAGCAAAACAUACAGCACGAGAGAUAAUUUGAGAAAAGAUUUAAACAAGUAAAGACGUUUUGGAAAACCAUCUAUAAUAUUAUUCUUGGUAAAACAGCUGAAAGUGUGAUAAUUCUUGUGCAUGCGGGUUAUUAAUCACAUAGGAUUGAUAUGAUAACCAGCAUGUUUUAACUUGUAUUCCCCCCCCCCCAUAAAAUCAUGUAAAAACAUUUAAAAGGUUAAUUCACGGGUAUGAACUCACCUAACGUUGGCGUUCGGAUGAAUGGACGGUAUAGGAUGCUAAGUGUCAAGUGAGGACUUGACCACACACGCGAAUCCUAUUUAACAUGUAAUGAUACAUUUAAGUAUCUAAUUAGUCAUUUACCAACUAAUUAAGCAAGUAAGGAUGUCUUACUACAUAAAAACACUUUGCUACAAGUGCUAGAAGUAUCAAGGGUUGCAUAGAAGGUGUGUAUGGACUCACAUUGGAGUUUACUCUUCAAAUGAUGGCCCUUAUGGGUGUUUACGGUUUCAAGACCACUUCCCCCAUGAUUUUACGUCCGUAAACUCAUGGUAGUGGUGUCAUGGGAUGUUUAAAGGUAUUAUCUCACUCAUAAAAUCAUGCUAGAGUCGAAUCAAGGGCUAAGGAAGUGAUUGGGGCUCCAAAUGGACACUUUAUGGAGUUUACGGUCCUUGGACCACUCCCUUGGGAGUUUACGGCCAUAAAAACAUGAGUUUACAGUCAUAAACUCAUGUUUGGCCAUUUAUUUUGUUGUUUGGUGGUUCUAACUCAUGCACGCAAGGUUCUAGUCACUUAUAUGAGCAUAGGAAGGUGUUAAAGGCACUUAAACACCUUGGAAAGGAAUUUAUGGUCUAUGAAGGUGUUCUUGGGGAGUUUACUACCUUAAACACAUGAGUUUACGGUAGUAAACUCAUGUUUGUCCAUGAAUCAUAUGUUUUGGUGCAUCCAAUGAAGGAUUACAAGGCUCUAGGCACUCGUGGAAGCAUUUGGAGGUGUUUGAGGGGUAGUUUAACACCCAAAAAGGUGUUUAUGGUUCUUGAAGAUGGGUUUACGGUCUAAGAAUGUCCAUAGACCAUAAACUCAUGUUUACUCCCCAUAUGCUAAGAUUUUGGUGUUCUAAGUCCUUUCAUGCAAGCCUCUAAGUCAUUGUUAAGCAUUAGAAGUGGUUUGGAAGGGUUUUUGGGCACCAAAACCCUCUUUCAAGGUGUUUACGGUUUUGGGAUGCUCCCAAGACCGUAGACUCUUGUUCUUGGGGUUUUUGGAUGUUUAAGCCACGAAUUUGCAAGUCAAAUGAGCUAAACAACAAGCUAGGAAGGUUAUCUUACCGAUUUGAAGCUCGAAGGGGCGAUUUUUGACCAAAACCUGAUUUGUAGAGAGAGAAAGUAGAGAGAGAGACUCCUAAGGUGUGAAAAGGGUUGGAAUGAAACCCACUCAACCCUUAUAUAGGGUGGAGUUUAUGGCCUGGUUGGGGGUCCACCUGACACCAACCGCGAACGGGGUUUUUCACGACUACCGUUAAACACGACAAAUUUUAAAAUUAUACCUCCUUAAUUUUGGUUCGCUUGACGAAUAUUAUUUAAAAUAUUCCAACGGGUUUAAAUCCGGUCAUAAAUAUUUUGGGAUAAAUUUGGCUAAUUUUUGACGUACUUAAUUUCGAUGUUAAAACUGACGGAAAUUUUUGGGUUGUCACAAUACAUGUAUACAUACAUACACACACACACAAAUACCACGUAAUACUCAAAUAAAUAUCCUUUAUUUAUCUAAAAUGGCUACAUUAGUUGACACUAACUAGUACAUCAUCUUUAUUAAUGUCUAGCGGGAAACGCGGGCAUUACACCAUACACCAACUGGUAGCAGCAACAUCGUUAAGAGUAAUUAUAUUAAACAUUUGAGGAAUGGUGGUUUGUGAUGGAGAAUAGUGCCCAUAAGAAUAACAAGCCAUGUACUAUUACAAUAAAUAACAGUGUCCUUUUUACACACAAGAACAAAAUAAAGCAAAAUUGAAAAGACAUUUAUUUUAGGGACUUGUUUUGUUAAUUAAUUAAUAGAUUAAUUAGAAAACAUGGAGAAUAUGGAAUAUUCAAGAAUUGUUUGAUUCUUCAAUAAUUACCAAUAUCCUAGAUAAUUAUUAAUAGAUUUUGUAAUUAUCUUUAACAUUUCAAACCACCUCCUUAUAAAUAAAGCAGUCAAAUCUUGGUUUUGGAUGGAUGAAAACUUAUCAUUCUUACUCCAAAAGUCAUAACCUGUAAGAAAACCCUAGAAACCUCGAAGGCCUUCGAUGUCACGAAAUGAAACCUCUUUUGUAACGUCAUGAUGAUGAAUAGUGUCUUCGAUUUGAUCUUGCAUCAUGUUGCUUCAUGGUGGGGUGUUCAAAUAUACUGGAGUUUUGCAUCUUGGGUGCAAUUACAAGAGAUUAACUCUACUUUUGAUUCUCUAGUCCAAUCAACUUGAUCAUCAAAAUAAGAAUUCUACAAUGAAUUCAAAGGUAUGUUUUUGUUCUAUUGAGUUCUAAAUGAUUUGCAUAGAUUAGUUGAGUUUAGAUCCAAUUGUUUGGAUUGUUAGAUCAUAUUUGUUUAUUUUUCCCACGAAUCUAUGUUUGGUCUAAUGAGGCUCGAAACUCAUCAUUGGUAUCAGAGCCUGGUUAGCUUAAAUCUAUUGCACUUAGAUUUUUACUUUUGAGUAUGUUAGGGUUUGUAUGUUUAGGGGUUUUUGUUUUAAAUUGUUGAAAUGUCGAGACAUUUUACUUGAUUGAAUUGAGUUUCGUAAUGCAUUAAAAAUCAACGGAUAAGUCGAUUUGCCUCUUCGUCACGACGUGACUAGUUCUCCAUCACAUUGCGACUGACUUCGCCGCCACGAAGUGACCAUAUCUUGUCACAUUGUGACUUGAAGCUGAGAAAUAAAAAUAAUAAUUUAUCAAAAAUUGGGUGUUUUCUGUGUGUCACGACGUGGCAGAUUUUGGAUUCAUGAUCCUCGGCUAAUCUAGUCGUGAAUGCUGAAUUAGCAUAAGAAGAGAUGAACAUGCUAUUGUCAUGGUCGAUUCACUAUUUGGAUUCAUGAUCCUCAGCUAAUCUAGUCGUGAAUGCUGAAUUAGCAUAAGAAGAGAUGAACAUGCUAUUGUCAUAGUGUCAAUAAAUCUCAAAAGAUCUAGGAAUCUCAAAAUAUUAAGAUUGACAAUUGGUUGUCUACCUAAAUAACUUCUUGGUGUGAUUUUUGCUAAUCCACUUCACAUAUUGGAGUGAAAUAUGGAUCCUAGCCUUGUUUGAAAUAAUUUGGUAGUUGGGUAAUUAUUCAUUAAGGAUCAAUAAAACAAACUAGUACUAAUCAUUAAUUGAAUGAUAUCUUAAAUUUUGUAACACUUUAUCCGUAUCUUUAAGUUUGGUCUUAAAAUUAUAAAAGCUUUCAUUUUGGUCCAUGUUACGCUAGGCGUAACUUGGAGUACACAUGGCGUACUCUCUUUAAGUCGGACACGAGGAUCCCAUAGUAUGUUGGGCGUACCUUAGUGUACACUGGGCGUACUUGCUUAGACCACAAACCCUAAUUUUUAGGGUUUGCCCCUAUUUAAGCAACAUUAUGGACCUUGAGGCUGGCCNGCUCCCCCCUCAUUAGCCUCCUUACCCUAAAAAGAUCCCCACAAAACCCUAGCCUCAAUUUGAGUGUUCCUGAGCCUUGGUUGUGUUCUUAUGGUGUUUUUGGGUACCUUAAAGAAGAAAAAGCUUGGUGGUGAAGCAUUGGUUGAGUUAGAGCUUGAAGAUCCAAAAUCUUCAACAUCUUUGCAAGCCUCAGAAGGUAUAAAGCUCUGAACUUUAUGACUCUUAGUGUAGAUCUUGUAUGUGGGUAAAAUAUUAUGCUCUUUGGUCCCAUAAGAUGAUUCUUGUGAUUAAAUUAUACUCUAGAGGUCUUCAGUUGUCUUUUGAUGUUUCUGAGGUUCCUUGAUGAUAAAGUUUGCAUCUUGAUGGUUGAGGACCAACCAUGCAAAAGUUUAUGAUCAUUUUAUUAAUAAAGAAUGCUAGAUCUAGGAUUUGGACUUCUUGGAGCCAUGCAGUGGAUUAAAGCUUCGGACUUUUUGGAUUACGACCUUCUUUAGAAGUAGAUCUGAGGUUUGAACGUUAAGGUCUUAAGGGAUUAAGCCAUAUAGAUGAGAAAAAGCCACUGACCAGUAUGUUAGGCGUACUUUUGAGUGCGCUGCACGUACUAGGUUUGAGUCUUGUUUUUUUUUCCAUGUUAUUUGGAAUUAUAUGUUGGGCAUAAUCUCAUGGUAUGCAUGGCAUACUCACUAGCUAGGCUUUUUGGCCUUUAACUAGUUUGGACCAUUGUUGGGCCAUAAUUCUUUAUGGAUUUAGGCCAUUGUUCGUCAAUGGGCUUCUUUAGUCGUAAAAAUCAUUCAUUAUCUUAUUAAUUAUUGUUGAUUUUAUAUCAUUUAUGGUCAAAAGGCACUUAAUUAGCUUAAUAUUUCAAUUUCAGUAUUAAAAGACAUGCUCGGGUGAAAAAGGAAGAGGAUUGAGUAAUUGGAUGCUUAGAGAUUGAAGAUUAAAGAAAGAAGCUGAAAAAAGAAGGAAGUCGAGGAGUUUUUAGCACAAACUCGACGAGUUGGUUAGUAAUUCUCGAUUUAAGGAUGCCUUGCCGUACACGCUGUAUACGCGAAUUAUUGAAGAAACUCCUCGAGUUAUUCUUAAAAACUCGACGAGUUGGAUUGAUUUUUGGUAACUAUAAAUAGAUAACUUCUAGGCCCGAAAACCUAACUUUUGUUGGAGGCUAGCUGCGAAUUUUGAAGAUCAAAAGGGUUCUUGGAGCUGCUGUUAUCGAGAUUUCAACGCAAGAAACAAUUUCAAAGAGAAUCAAAGGCAAACAAUCAUUCUUCUUUUAUUAAUCUUUGCUUUUAACUAUGUUUGAAUCAUUAGGCUUUGAAAUUAGGUUAUUACUUGCUGUAGACAUGAGCUAAAAGCUUUUUACUUCUGUUUGGAUGAGAUGAUCUUAUGAUCAUGGUUCGAUGGAGUGGUUGAAUUGAUAUUAAUUUGGUUAUUUAUCUUGUCAAGCUUAUUUAAGAUCCUUAUGUAUUGAUGAUAUAUGUUUUCAGUUAACAAAUAAGUGAUUGAGUUGCAUGAAUAUCUUCUUGAUUACUUGAUUCAUAUAGUUUUAUGAAAAUAAGAUUGUAUGCCUAGGAGUAGUGAAUAUGAAACUAAGGUUAACUAGAAAAUGUGUAAAUCAAUGUGUGAGCAUGUGUGAUGAACAACCAUACAUGAGUUGAUUGAAUUGAACAAAUUUGAUUAACUAUUGUUAUAAGUCUUGCUUGAUACGAACUGAACACUAGGAAACUUGUUAAUUUAAUCACUUGAUCACCGUUUAAACUAACUUGUCUACUAAAGGAUUGGAAAUAAGGAACAUUAACACAAUCACAUUAGGAAUCAGUAACCAUUGAUAUAUUAAUUCAUUGCACUUACCAAGAAAUCAACCAUAGGAAUAAGUGAAUUGAAUCUAAACAGAAGUCUCUUUUAUCAUUGAAUCUAGUUGUCCUUUCUUUUUCUUCUUAGUUGUUAAUUGUCUUUUUUUGAGUUUUAAAGUGCUUGUUUAAGUUUAUAGUCUUGCAAAACUAGAGAAAACCCCCCUCUUUUAUUAAUUGUUUCUAAUUAGGUAAUACUAGUACUUAAUUUGAUUGUUACCGUUCCCUGUGUUCGAUACCCUACUUGCUUAAACUAUACUAUUAAUCGAUAGGUUCACUGCCUUUUGUGUGUUUAAUUUGUGUUUGAAGUAAUAGGAUUAAAACUAGUGCGUUUUACACACAUCAAGUUUUUGGCGCUGUUGCCGGGGAACGGUUCUAAUAGUUAUCUUAUUUGCUAAUAUUAUCGACCCUUUGUGUUAGAUCUUUCUCGCAUAAAGUUACUUGUUUUUAGUUUUUAAAUUUUCUUGUUUUCUGUGUUUUUGCAUUAAACUCGUCGAGUUUAUUAUUGAACUCGACGAGUCUCUUCUGUUUUCAGUUUCGUUACUUCUUCGUUUUUGUUCGUUUUAUGCUUGUUUUUCUGUUUUGUUUCAGAUUUUUAUGACCUGAGGCUCUAGUUCUACACUAGUGCCACCCGUAGAAGAUCCAGAGUUGAUUAUUUGCAAAAAAGGGGGAAAAACAAUCGAAGAACCUGAAGAUCUUAACAAAAUCCACAGUAAGAAGGUAGAAGGCCACGAAUCCAACACACCCAUGUUUGGUGAAGAAAGCGAUUCCGAGCAAGAAGACAACAUGUCCGACAUCUCCGACAUACUAAUGGGAGACUACAAGAAGCUCAUAAGAUAUGGUACCGGGCCAGGACUCGUGCAACCAGCAAUCCCAGCUACCGCCAACUUUGAGCUGAAGGGUCACAUACUCGCACAACUAAAAGACAUUCCAUUCUAUGGAAAGGAGCACGAAGAUGCUUAUAAGCAUAUUGAAGAAGUUAUGUACAUUGCUGACUAUUUCCACAUGCCAAAUGUACCUCGUGGUACGGUUUUGCUUCGGAUGUUACCGGUUACAUUCAAAGGAGCCGCAAAGGAAUGGUUGAAGUAUUUAGCCCCAGGAUCCAUUACAACAUGGCAAAAGAUGCGCGAAGAGUUCAUUGACCGGUUUUGUCCACCUUCCAAGAUUGAAAAUUUGAAGAAAGCAAUUGCUAACUUUGAGCAAUUUCCGGGGGAAUCACUCUAUGAGGCGUGGGAGAGAUACAAUGGGUUGAUAAGAAAUUUCCCUCAAAACGACCUAAACGUGCAACAAGAGGUUUCCAUCUUUUAUGAUGGUGUGAACGUCACAACUAGGCAAUUACUCGAUUCCCAAGGACCCCUCACUAAGAAAGCACCAGCCGUCAUUAAAACAUUGGUAGAAGAAUUCUCCAAACAUUCAAGGGAGUACCAUAAUCUAAGGAACGAUACAACUAGAGGCGUGGUUAACUCAGUUUCUGAUGACAUGGCGGCAAUGAUGGCCAAACUAGAAAGUAUGGAUUGUAGGAUGACAAAAAUGGACCAAUCCAUCCACUCCAUUAGGGUGGGUUAUGACAAUUGUAACGGUCCCCAUCUUACUAAGGAUUGCGAUAUUGAUGAGAAUGGCAACCGGAAGGCACAAGUUUGUUACUCAAGUGGCGAUAGAUUUGAAGAUGAUUGGCGAAAGCCCAAGAAGGAGUGGCUUCCCUACGACGAGUACAAAAAGGAAAAGAAGGAGCAGUAUAGGCAAAAGACACGCGGAUUUUAUCAAGCAGAUAUGCAAGAAGAUCCUCCCGUCAUUCCAAUAAAUGAUGAGCUUCCUAUGGAUCCUUAUAGUGUUGAGCUAAGGGCGUUUCAAGAUGAGUUAGCAAGAAGCUUGAAUUAUGGACAUAGAAAUUUGGUUCAUAUGAACAUUCCAAGGAUGGAAGAUGAACCAGAUUAUCCAUAUGUGAGGAAUUGGAGUGAGAGGUGGAGUAUGCGUCAAAGUGGAGCCGGAGGAAGCGAGUUUGGAGGAGAAGAAAGUGAAGAUGAAGAUUAAUUAUCCUUUCCUUAUCUUUUAUUUUGUUUGGCUUGUUUGAAUUAUUUUUAUUUUUGUUUAUUUGGUGUUUUUUUUUUGUUUUUUGAUAUUUAAACUUCUAGUAAUUUAGGAUUUUAUUAGUAUGUUUUCCUUUUAUUACUUUGUGUUUGUUUCUUUUGUUGUUUUCAGAAUAUAAGUUGAGGAAAGAAUGAAAGAAUAUAGUGUGAGGGGUAUAACGUGAGAUCGAGUCUAAAACAAGAAGAGUGAGAAAAUUAAGUCUAUUCGCAAGAUCGGUGAACAAAAGGAUUGAAAACAUGUGCUUUCGCUGAAGAAGAAUGAAGGGAAAUAUUGCCAUAAUCAUUCCCUUCAAAACCAGAAACGAAAAAUGAAGUUGGGGUAUAUUUUGUUCUCUCAGUAAACAAAACUCGUCGAGUUCCUUAAAUAAACUCGACGAGUUCCUUUGAAGAAGCCCAACUGUGCCAGUUUUAGCAACCUAACUCAACGAGUUCACAUUGUACUCAUCGAUUUUCUCUUUCUCUUACCUUUGAGUUGGUGAUUUGAUUACAUUCUACGGAGGCAUUUGGCUGUACUAUCAACGUUUAUUUUCCGAGCAUUUCCAAGACCUUUUUCCUGUAUAUUUUGGGAGCCUAACCACAUGAGAUUUGACACCCAAGGCAUGGAUGAGUUGUUCCCAUGUCUAAAGUCAACUGAAGAUGGAGCUUAACAAGAAGGAUAUCAACCUCGCAACUACUAUCCCAGGGGAGUUUGUUCUAAUUCUCUCUUUACUUUUAUGUUCUUUUUCAUGCAUAACAUGCAAUGGGGACAUUGCAUACUUUAAGUGUGGGGUAGGGGGUUGAUUACAUUUAGUGAAAAAAAAAUUAGAAUCCUUUGAAUCCUUGGUUUGAAAAAAAAUUUCAUAAAAAAAUUGCUAGGCUUAAUUUAGAAAAUAUUGGUAAAGCAAUUAGGAUUCCAUGCUAGUAUUGUGUUUGAUGAUUCCUUAAGGACCUAAAUGUUUAAUUGAGCCUAUACACGUUAUAAUGCAUUUGUGGUCUCCUUUAUUCUAGUGAAAUCAUGGAACAAAAACACAACCUCGCUUAGUUUGAGGAUCGCAAUAUGUUUAGCAGCGUGUACUUGAAAUGUAUCCAGGAAGACUUAAGUAGUCAUUGCACAUGAGACUAAUGCCUUUAACCAAUAAAGGAUGAAGUUAAAUCCCAUUGCGUAAGCAUAUGUUUUUUUUUCUCUAGGUUUUUAGUUUGAGUGAAAAAAAAAGAGAAAAGAAAGAAAAGAAAAGUUGAAAAAAAAGAGUGAUGAAAUAUUUGAAUAAAGACUCUACAAAGCUAUGAAGACAAAGAAGAAUAUCAUGAAGAAAAGCUACAAAGUAGAAAAUAUUCAAUCAAAAUUUGUAUUUGUCUUUUAUUUGUAAUUUUCUUUUCUAGGUUAUUUUUUUGUAUGUGUGCUUGGGGAUUUAACCAAAAAUGACUUGAGGUUAAGAAAGUUUUCUGUGGAUGGAUUCGGAGGGAUGCAUAAAAUGAGCGUUGUUUGAAAGAAUUGGGCGAGUGUUUAUGAGGAUUAUAAGUAUUUAGAAUUGAGGGGGGUCCUUAGGAAAAUUUUUAGACACAAAUGCAUGCGUUGCGGCCUUAUCAUAAUGGGUAGGUUCGAUUGGGAUUUUCUUAUAUGAUAUUAGUGUGCUAAAAUUCAGUUUUGAUUGGGGGCAAGCAAAAGUCAAGUGUGGGGUAUUUUGAUAUAGGCAUAUUUAGUCGUAAAAAUCAUUCAUUAUCUUAUUAAUUAUUGUUGAUUUUAUAUCAUUUAUGGUCAAAAGGCACUUAAUUAGCUUAAUAUUUCAAUUUCAGUAAUAAAAGACAUGCUCGGGUGAAAAAGGAAGAGGAUUGAGUAAUUGGAUGCUUAGAGAUUGAAGAUUAAAGAAAGAAGCUGAAAAAAAGAAGGAACUCGAGGAGUUUUUAGCACAAACUCAACGAGUUGGUUAGAAUAUUCUCGAUUUAAGGAUGCCUUGUCGUACACGCUGUAUAUGCGAAUUAUUGAAGAAACUCGUCGAGUUAUUCUUAAAAACUCGACGAGUUGGAUUGAUUUUUGGUAACUAUAAAUAGAUAACUUCUAGGCCCGAAAACUUAACUUUUGUUGGAGGCUAGCUUUGACUUUUGAAGAUCAGAAGGGUUCUUGGAGAUACUGUUUUCGAGAUUUCAACGCAAGAAACAAUUUCAAAGAGAAUCAAAGGCAAACAAUCAUUCUUCUUUUAUUAAUCUUUGCUUUGAACUAUGUUUGAAUCAUUAGGCUUUGAAAUUAGGUUAUUACUUGCUGUAGACAUGAGCUAAAAGCUUUUUUACUUCUGUUUGGAUGAGAUAAUCUUAUGAUCAUGGUUCGAUUGAGUGGUUGAAUUGAUAUUAAUUUGGUUAUUCAUCUUGUCAAGCUUAUUUAAGAUCCUUAUGUAUUGAUGAUAAAUGUUUUCAGUUAACAAAUAAGUGAUUGAGUUGCAUGAAUAUCUUCUUGAUUACUUGACUCAUAUAUUUUUAUGAAUAUAAGAUUGUAUGCCUAGGAGUAGUGAAUAUGAAACUAGAGUUAACUAGAAAAUGUGUAAAUCAAUGUGUGAGCAUGUGUGAUGAACAACCAUACAUGAGUUGAUUGAAUUGAACAAAUUUGAUUAACUGUUGUUAUAAGUCUUGCUUGAUACGAACUGAACACUAGGAAACUUGUUAGUUUAAUCACUUGAUCACCAUUUUAACUAACUUGUCUACUAAUGGAUUGGUAAUAAUGAACAUGAACCCAAUCACAUUAGAAAUCGGUAACCAUUGACAUAUUAAUGCAUUGCACUUACCACGAAAUCAACCAUAGGAAUAAGUAAAUCGAAUCUAAACAGGAGUCUCUUUUAUCAUUGAAUCUAGUUGUCCUUUCUUGUUCUUCUUAGUUGUUAAUUGUCUUUGUUUGAGUUUUAAAGUGCUUGUUUAAGUUUCUAGUCUUGCAAUACUAGAGAACCCCCCCCCCCCUCUUUUAUUAGUUGGGCCUUAGGUAUUGAUGGAUUUGGGUCAUUUAUGGGCGUUGGACCAUUUUGGGUUUUGGGCUAUGAUUAGUUAUGCCCAAUAAGGUUAGGGAAAAUGGUAUUUUAUCCUAGGAGUCAGGAUUAAGGAGUUAGACUCUCGGUUAUGGUCUAUGGCCUAAUUGUUAAUUAAGGUUUUAUUAUUUGUGAUUUAGUGCGGGGAUUUUCAAGUUCAGCAGCCCGACUGUUAUUUGUUUAUCAGCGGAUCGAGGUGUGUCUUCUCACUGUACUAUAGGACACUAGGUGUCAUUGUAUGCUUGUUGUCUGUGAGACUCUUUCUUAUAUGUCUGCAUGUUAUGAAUACCGGGCGUACCUCAAUGCCGUGUAGGGUCCUAUGGAUUUUGGGUGAGGCUUGAGGGAUACUGGGUGGGGCCUGUUGUAUGUAUGGUAUGUGGUAUUUUAGGGAAACUCACUAAGCUUUGUGCUUGCAGUUUUUAGUUUAUGUUUCAGGUACUUCCGGUUCGAAGGGAAAGAGCUCGGGAUGAUCAUAUUGCACACACCAUGUUUUCGCAUUAUUGACUCUGAUGUAUUUUGGAUAUGGAUGAUAUGCUCUGAUUUUUCCAUUUUGGUUUUCUAUGAAUAACAAUUGGUUGGUUUCUUAUCUAAUAUAAAAUGAAAUUUUUUGUUAUAAAUUUUGGGGCGUUACCAAAGUAUCCACUAAAAGUUAAUUGCUAUAAAAACCUUUAAAAAGGAAAAGCUAGAAGGAUUGACCAAUCUUGUUCGUGUUUUGAGAAUAGUACUCUUAAAAGAAAAAAAAGAUUGUACCUUUAUCUAUAGGAAGGAGAAAGUAUCAAAUAUACAUAUUACAUCGAUAGCAUGAAUACUAUAUGGAACUCCGUCAAGAUUAUGAGUUGGCUAUGGAAAUAUAAUCGACUCAUAUAAUUAGGUAAUUCUGAUUUAAUAUGAGCAACUUAGAAAGAUCCAUCUUAGCAAAUGUUAAGUGUACAAACUGAAUCAAUAUUGAAUUCCAUCGUGUUGGGAGUUGACUAUGGUGACAUAACCAACUAGCCAACUAGUGCAUAUAAUUAGAUGAUUCUAAUAUGAGCUAUAUGGAAAGAUCCAUUACGGAACUACAUUGCAUGUUGAGCACCUUUGGAACUAACAUGACAAAUUAGAGAGACACCAAGCUUCAAAGAAGUAAGUGCAUGAAUAAUAUUGAAGAAACAUGGAAUUUCAUUCGUUGGAAGUGGCAAUGAUCAACUGAUUUUGCUUUAGCAUUGAUAACCUAAAAAUAUCCAUUAUGGAGCUGCAUGACAUGUUAAGGACUAUUUGGAACUAACAUAGUUAAAAGCUUCAAAUGCUCAUACUGAUAGUCGUCAUGAAAGAAGUGUCAAGAUGAAGAAAGCCAAUUGUCCAUAGGCAAAAGGAUGUCCUUAGUUGGUGUAUCCAAUCACAACAUUAAAUGCAAAGAACGAUAGAUAGGCUCAUUCUGAGACGUAUUCUGAUAGGUUGAAUUGGUACUAGGAAAAGGACUAAGAAAAGCACAAUUGCCCAAAUUAAUCUGAUGUAGACUAAAACCUAAAGAUGAGUUUACUGAUCAUCGAUAACGAGGAACCACAAUAUUUUUAAGGGAUCAACUCAUUCUUCUAAGUGUUUAGUUUAUAAUUAGAAUAAUGAAUCCAUAACACCGUUGAAAUUUUACUUUAAAUUCUUGAAUGUUUCACUAAAGGAUGAGUCCUGACUUUUUCAAGAAUGUGAACUGGCAAAAAUGAAGUAAUAGACUAUAACAUAUAGAUGUGAUUAUGAUCAAGGACAUCGAUUCGAGUUCCUUUACUCUCCUUAGAAUCAUAAGAUGACUCUUUCUCUUAAAUGUUAAGUCUAUUGUCUUAUGAUUGAAAUUGUUCAUAUAAUGUUUUCGUAAAAUAGUUCUAGCUUAUUUAAAUAAAGAACAUUUCAUAUGUUUUCUAUUUAAAAGUAAGUCACGAAAUCUUUGAAACUAGUGUUGUAACAAUAGUUCAAUGGAGAUUCAUUGGUUGGAUUAAAUGCAUUUAUGGAGUCAUCUUCUUGAAUAAGAGUUUCAUUGCCAAAUAUGCAGUUAGAUUGGAUUUUGGAAUUCAUUUGACCCUAAGUUUUAUGAUAAAUGCAAAUUUUAUUUCUCAAGAAUGAUGAAAACAACACCAUAAAGUGAAAAAAAAAAUGUCUGUUGGAAUUAGUUUACACUAAUUUUCCAUUCAGAUUAACAAUGAUGCAUGUUGAUCCAAAUAUAUCCAAAGUGUUUAGAUCAUUGUCUUUAAAUAUGUGAAUGAGAAGUGCAUCACCAAAUAUUCAGUUAGAUAGAAUUUUGGAUGUCAUUAGACCAUAAAUCUUUUGACUAAUACAUAUAUCAUAAUAUUAAGAUAAAUGACAAACAAAUCACUCCAUGAUGCUAUCAUUUGUUGGAAUUAGUUCUUGCUAAUUUUCCAUUCAAAUUGAUCAUGAAACGAAGUUCAUAGUCAAUUGGGUAAAAGGAUAAGAAAAUCUAAUCCAGUAGGAUAAUGAGAAUCUUGAUCAAAAGGUUAACGAUCAUCAAAUGGAAUUGUGAAGCAGUUUCACAACUCGUCACAAACCAAAAUAUUAUCAUAAGCAAUAUAGUUGGAUAGAGAAACAAAAUCAUUGUUUGAUUUGUAACUGGCGAGUCGUAUUGUGCUUACAAACAAUUUAUGGAUUGUACUAUGAGUGAGUGUUACAAGACUCCUUGGUCUUGUACAAACUAAGAAAGUUUUGCGCUCUAUAAAAUGGACUAUUUCGUAGGACGCCCGAACUACAUUUUUGGAAACCCUAUGAGGACAAAGUAUUUGUUACUUUAAGGAAAUUCUUUGAAACGAGAGAGAUAAUAUCCAAAAGAACUGGUAUGAUCCAUAUUGAUCUUGAUAAGACUCAAGAAUCAAUUAACAAAUAGCCCAAAUAAAAACACUAGCACUUAAUUAGAGGUUAACACCUAUUAAGAAAAGUGAUAUCUCUCUAUCUGUGCGACAUAGAUCUAAUAAGUGAUGUCAUUGACCGUGUUGACUACAUGUCAUGUGAGAAAUGAGUCACUGAUAGAUUGUGAUCAAAGUCUAUCGGAAGCUAUGGAAGGCCCAACCAGAUCAAAUUGGAGGAAGAUAUGAGGAAUGAGAUUCAGACCAUCUAUGUUUGAAAUUUGAAUUUUUCCAACACUUUUUGUUUAUGGAUCUUCAAAAGAUGACAAACAUGGAUAGGACCACAUAUAUACUUAAACCAAGGUGGGUUGUGAUAGUUAUGUGGGCUUGAGAAGUGCAUUGAUGGGCUGUAACAACCAUCUCAUGUUAAGAUCAUUUUCUUCAAUGAGAAUUUCAAAAGGUUGAAUUAAAAUAAAAAAAGAUAGACCAUACAAAUGUUAGAGCUAGUAGGAGAAAUGUUAUCCCUUGUAUUGAAAUAGAAACAAUGUCCUAACUUUGUUGAGUGUAAAAUAUUUACAUAGGUUAGGAAUUCUUUCGCUGUGAAACACACGAUAUGAACAAGAAAGCAUCCUUAGAGUCUAUGGAGAUAGAUGUAAGUUAUUCAUUGAAUUAAGCCAAAGUACUUGGAAUCUUGAGGAAAUUUAAGACACAUAAUUCUUAAAGAGUUCGUGCUAGUAAUAGUAAUGAAUCGCUUUCCUUGUGAAUGAUAAGUCAUAUUAACAUCAUUUUGGAUAUAAUCAAUGAAUCAAAAAAUCAAUAAUCAAGAAAUAUUCUUUGAAUUCCUAAAAGGAUGAAAGAGAUAAUCUUGUUAGUAUGGAAGAAAUCAAUGAAAUAGUUACAUUGAUGGUCAGUUCCUUACUAAUACAGACGUUUACGUUUAGUAGUUGGAGUUCAUGCUCUUAAUUAAUAAGGUAUUAGCUUGGAAAAGUACUAAAUAAUACACCUAAGUGGAUUUAAUAAUAAGCUUUGAGUAUAUUGCAAUAAGUUAGCUUGUAAUGACAAACUAUGUGACUAAAAGAAAUUCAAAAGCGACCCUAAUAUUGUAUUCCAUCAUUGAUGGUUCUCUUGAAGUUUAUUGUGACUAUAAGGGGACUUCACCUCGUGUAUGUAUCCCAUGUUACAUAAGAUCACAUGGUAAAUACUCAGUAAGUACCUUCACAAAUGUGAGGACGUCAUAGUUAACUAAAUGGAACCUUGUUGAUUCUUACCUUUAAACUAAAUCCCUAUUCAAGGUUAAUAGUCACAUAAAGAUAUAAUGUCAUUAGACUUGCAUGUGUAUUAACUUGAGUAUUUUAGUUUUAGCUUGUUUUAAUUUAGGAACUGAUGCAAUAUAGGUCACUAUUUGAUUUGACGAUUAUUAAGUGAUGAACUUAAUAUUUGAUGGAGACUAGUCAUUUCAUUUAGGAUGUUUUUUUGUUCCAAUUUUGCAUAUUUAGAACCACUUCCAGAGUAAUAUAUUAUUCAAACUCCCACAAUCAGUCCUACUCUUGGGAGAUAUUAGUGAAUUAAGAUUUUCAUAGUAUUGGUAGAUUGUUUAUAGAGAUGAACAUAGCUAAGUCUUGCAACCAAUACGGAUGAGUACUUGAAAAUAGAGAUUUUAAGUAUUGGAGUAACCAUGCUUAAAGAUUACUUCAUGAAUCAUGUCAUGAGUAAAUUAAGACAACUAUAUUUCUUAUUCUUCAAAUGGAGAUGCAUGAGGUUUUGUCCUACAGUCUAUUGUAUCUUGGUUUUUCCCCAAUGUUGUCCGUAACUGGCAGCUAUACAUGGUUUGACUAGAUAUUGCAUGAGGAAGAGUACUGGCCUAUGUAGUCAAAGUUUAUUUGAUCCUUCUGCCAGAAAUGGAGAAGUAGAUAUCGUAACAUCCAUGAUUACACGGUAUUGUUAAUUCUUGCAUUUAUUUGGUUCGGGUCACAAAGUUGUUUGGACUUAGAGGUUGGGCCUCUUCGUGUUUGGGCUAGCUGAAGUUGUAUGUUGGACAUAAGCCUGGUGUACGCGGGACGUAGUAAGAUCAAGGAAAACGUGGAGCCAUCCAUGUACGUGUAACAUACUAAAUGGUACGCGUAGCAUGCAUGUGCUGACUCAAAACCCUAACUUUUAGGGUUCAAGACAUAUAAAUAUGUCAUUAUGUCCCAUGCCACAGCCUCCUUAGCUCAGAAACCCUAAAAGCUAACCCUUAUCAUCAUUGUGUGUUCAUGACCUUGUGGACUUCAUUUUUGGUAGCUUGGAGCUUUGGAAAGAAGAAGAGGAAGUUAGUGAAGGAGAGUUAGUGAACCUUGAGCUUGAAGAUCCGAAACAUCAUCAUCAUUUAGCACUCAUUUGAGGUAUAAAGUUCAGAAGUUGCGUUAUGAAUGCUUAGAUCUCUUGUGUUUGAGUUUUUAGACCUUUUUGGUCCCAUUAAUGUAGCUUUAUUGAUCAAAGUCAUUUCUUAAUCUUAGGGAUACAACCCUUGGUGUUAUUUGAGUCCCUAAGUCAUAAAAUUACCAUCUUGGAGGUCUUGAAGCAUCUAUGCAUGAGUAUUUGUCAUUUCUAAGGAAGUAGGUUGUCAUAUUCCAAGUGUGGGGUUCAUUUGGGGGCAUGCAAGCCACCAAGCGGUCGACUUUAUGGGUUAAGAACCUUCAUUGGACUAAGAUAUGUGUUUGGAGCCUUAGAUCAUAAGGUUUUAAGUGCUUUUUAGGAUUUUGGCUUAAUAGGAGAGUACGAUGGGCGUACCAGCUCGUACACACAAUGUACAUGCCAUGCUGCCUAUACGCUUAACGUAUAUAUGACUACGCCCCACAUACUCACUAAGUUGGGCUUUGCGUUGUUUGGGCCUCGGUUUGGGUCACUUUUAUGGAUUAGUGACUUGGGCUGUGGUGGACCAUCUGGAACUAGACCAAUGGGCUAGCGAAACAUUAUUGUUCCUUGGGCUAAGGCCCAUGCAAAAGGAUUCGGCCCAAUUGGAAAUUGGGUCAUAUAUUGGGCUUCAUGGGAUUGUUUAUCUUUUAGGUCAUGGGUUGCGAUUUAAGGACCAAGUUAUGUUAGGGGUAAAAUAGUCUUUUACCCCAAGUAGGGAGUUUUGGUUAAUGAGGUAGAUCUCUUUGUUGAUUAGCUUGUGUCUCGAAAUUGUUAGCUCAGAGAGUUGUAGGACUAGCAGUCAGGGAUCAUUCGUUUCAGUCAGCUUAUCGAGGUGAGUUUCCUUAUUGGGUUUAGCGAUUCGAAGGCGCCAAUUCCAACCUAUGUUUAUUAUAUGUUGUUAGUAUUCUAGCUAUCUUUGUGACUCUUUCAUGGGCUUGUGUUUAUAUUUUUUUGGGCUAAGGCCCGAUGCCGGGCGGGGCCUGAUUAAUAAUUGUAUGCUAUGUAUCUCUGUGAUUAUUGCAUGUGUAUGUGUCCAUUUGAUAUAUGUUUAUUGUAUGUUUGCUAUGUGGUAUUUUAGGGGAACUCACUAAGCUUCAUGCUUAAGGAUUUUAGUUAUCUUUCGGGUACUUCUGGUAGUAAAAGGAAGAGCUCGGGAUGACUGCAUCGCACACACGAUUGAGAUUGCGCUUAUGAUGUUUUACUCUAAUUUUAUGGAAAUUGAUACAUUGGUUUUUAUUUGAAUGUUUGGAUGAUGUUGGAAAAUACUAUUUUAUCUAUUAUAAAAAAAAUGAAAUUUUUUGGACCAUAUUUUUUAGUGUUACAAGUUGGUAUCAGAGCUUUGGUUUGAGGGAUUCGGGCACACUCUCGGGUGUGUCUGAGCUCAAACUAAGGACUUCAUGGGAAUUUUCAAAAGAAAAACAUUUUUAUAAAAAGGAUUUAUAAAAGAGAAAAAAGGUGUGGUGCAUGCAAUCAACCGAGCUCAAGUAAGUUAUCCCAAAAUACCCUUACAUGUUUAUGAUAUGAUUUGAAUUGUGAAUCUGUGAAUCACUUGCUAGAUUAGGGCUAAGGAUCUAGGAAAGAUGCCUUUGUAUGCCUGCUUUUUGAACAUAUAGAUGUGCAUGCUAGUGUUGAUCAAUCAGUAAUAGGAUUGUUGGAAUAGUGCCUAAGGCUGCAACUAUAUUAGGCAAGUAUUUGACCCAGUUGUGCAUAGUCCUUUUGGGUUGCCUUCACCAUAGCAACUUGAUAGGAUGAUUUAUUAAGAGAGAGUAAAUAUUAUUAUAAAGAAUAAUAAUAUUGUUAAUAUAAGUCAUAGAAUUAAUUGGAAUUAAUUUGGUGGCUUAAAGAGAUUAAUUAAAUAAGAGGGUAUAAACUGUCAAUUGUUUGAUAGUUAAGCUUUAGACUAUAAAUCCUUAUAGAUAUAUAGUGGACGGAUUCUAGAUACUAGGAUAGCUUCAAAAUCGUCCAAGGUGUUAUCUAGGAAUGGAUUUGGAUAGGCUUAAGAGAAGAUUAUCCAAUAGGGUUUUGGUUGUAACCCUUAAGGAGUCUACAAGUAUAAAUAGACCCCUUUGUGCACUCGGCGAGUCCCUUUGUGCACUUGGCGAGUCCAAGCGUCAGGUAUGGCCAGAUUCGGGAUUUUUUCAUAAUUAUCUUAUGGAAACUUUCCUUAAACUAAUUAGAUCAACCCUAAUCCGAUUUUUUGAUAUAUAUGACUAUAAUCUUGAUCUAAUUAAAGAUAUUUAUCAUCUAAUAAAAUAUUUAAUUUCCUUAUAUGAUAAUUAAUUAAUUAUUUUGAUUAUUUUGGUAAUUAUCUUAAAAGAAAUCUUGAAUAAAUCAAAUAUAGAUAAUUAGGAUAUUAAUUGUUAAUUGGAAUUAUUUGUUAUUUGAUCCUCCAUGUUUUAAAUGUUUAAAACUUGCCCUCAAGUUUUGAAAUUUAUAUUUGUGAUUAAAAGUUUUAAUUUAGACAACUUAAAUUUCAAACCCUAGAUUUUAAAAGGUUUAAAAUACAACCCUAUACUAAUAUGAUAUUACUAGAAUAAUAUAUAUAUGUAUAACUAAAUGCUAGUCUUACCGUUAGUAGGCCUCAUUCACGAAGCCGAUCUAUAAGGUGGGUAUAAGGUUGCGGCCUAUAAAAUGGCGCUUAAUGGGUGUACACUCACACCCACCGCUUGCUUGAUUGGUGGAGGGUCGUUAGCCGAACGGGUAGGAUAGGGCAACCUCAUCCUCUCAUUAAAAGUAUAAUAAGAAAUACAAAGUAACUACACAUAUUUUAAAAUUUCCCAAUCCUAGUUACUUUAGGAAAAGUGAAUUGAUGCAAUCCCAUGAAAUUACACUUUGCACCCUUGCUAAGAAGUUAGUGGAGCGUGUGUGGUUUACCGGCACACUAAUUGGUUCUAAGCAAAGGUGGCAAAGGGUGAUUCAUUGUUUAUCAUAGUUCGAUGGAGCGUGUGUGGUUUACCGGCACAUCGAAUAGGUGAUCGUUACAAUGAAGGCACCAUGUGAAUUUGCAUGGUAAUUCACACCCGCUUUGUGAUCCUCGGUAUCCCAGUCACAAACAAGAGGGGCAUAUCGAGAUUUAAACAUGCCAUUGAAUAGUUUCAAUGAAUCUCAUCCGAACCUAGGAAUUCUCAAUACACUUAGGACUAAUAGUUUAGGUUUUGUGAUGGAGAAUCAGUGAAUCGUCAUUCACUUAACUUCAAUUUAUUGGCAUGUUAGAUUACGGCAUCCCUUUUCUAAUACGUAAAUGUUGGAUCCUAGCCCUAAUUUUUCUUAUUGGGUGAUAAUUAUGGAUUCAAAUUCUAAUCUAUCUUUGUCCUUUCUAUUUGUAGAUGUCAAACGCAAACAACGCUGCUGCUAGCUCUUUCACAUUGAUGAGCCUUUGCCAAAAGGUCACCUUCGAUGGAACGAACUUUAGCGAAUGGAUAAGAUACAUUCGCACCAUUGCUCGCUAUGAGGAUAAGGAGUAUGUCCUCGAUGAGAAGCUCGAGAAGAUCAACCCUGAAAUCGCUACUCCGGCUGAAAUUACCGCUUUUGAAACUCAUGAGCGAGAUGCAACGAAGGUACAUUGCAUCAUGAUAGCCACCAUGAACUCCGAAUUCCAAAAGUCCUACGAGGACAUGUACCCGUACGAGAUGCAUCAAGACUUAUUGGAGAGAUACCACCAAAACGCGAGACAAGAGCGUUAUGAGAUUUUCACUAACAUGAUUUCCGCUAAGAUGGGUCAUGGAGAAUCUCUUACCGUGCACCUGCAAAAGAUGCAAAGGUAUGUCGACCGCCUUCGCAAGUUAAAUGUUGACUUUGGGGAAGACUUGGCGAUCGACAUGGUGCUUCACUCUUUGCCUCCGAUGUACAACCAAUUUAGGAUGACCUACCACAUGAACAAAGAGGAGGUCACCCUAAGCAAACUCCAAGGUCUAUUGAGGGUCGCUGAGAGCAACUUCAAAGACAAGUCUGUUGCACUAACUCCCAAUCCACCCGCUGCUCCUGUCUUGGAUAUUGGUCAAGGAAAGGGAAAGAAGAGGAAGGCUUCGUCUAAGAACUAUCGCAAGGUUAAAGCCCGAGAUGGUGCCUCUUCUAGUGGGACCAAAGUUGAUCCCGCUAAGCCCUGCCCUAACCCGAAGGAGGCAGAGUGCCACCACUGCCACAAGAUAGGACAUUGGAAGAGAAGCUGCCCAGAUUACCUGCAAGCAAUCAAAGAAGGAAAGAUCAAGCCAUCUUUCGCAGGUAUAUACACAAUCAAAUCUAACGAUUCUAAUCAUGCUAUUUCUUGGGUUCUUGAUACCGGUUGUGGUUAUCACAUUUGUUCUAAUGUGCAGGGACUAAGAAGAAGUAGGGAUGUGGAGCAAGGAAGGAUCAAUCUAAUCAUGGGGAACAGAAGAUCGUCGCCUGUGACCAAGAUUGGAGUGUAUUCUUUAGUGCUUAGGAAUAGUUUAGGUUUAGAUUUGAACAAUUGUUGCUAUUCGCCAGAAAUGGCUAGAAACAUCAUUUCAUUUCAUGGUUUAUAUAGACAAGGUUUUAGAUUUUCUUUUAAUAAUGAGAAUGGUUCUAUUUUGGCUUAUCUAAAUGGUGUCUUUUACUUUGAAGCUAUACCAUGUAAUGGAAUAUAUGAAACCGUUAUGAUUGUUGAUAACUUAGGAAAUGAUGUUUUGAAUAUUGAUUCUUCCACUAGUAUGGAUAAAGCAUCCUUGUGGCAUUGUCGUCUUGGACAUGUCAACAAGAAACGCAUAGCCCAACUCCAAAAGGAUGGAGUGUUGGAGUCAUUCGACCUUAGGGAAGAUGACACAUGCGAGUCUUGUUUGCUUGGAAAGAUGACUAAGUCACCCUUCACGAGUACAUGUGAAAGGGGCGAGGGUCUAUUGGACCUAAUACAUACCGAUGUAUGUGGACCGUUUAGAUCAACCACGAAGGAUGGGAACCGCUUCUAUGUGACUUUUACCGAUGACUAUAGUAGAUAUGGGUAUAUCUACUUAAUCAAGCAAAAGUCAGACACCUUUGAAAAGUUCAAAGAGUUCAAGAAUGAAGUGGAGAAUCAAUUGGGCAGGAAAAUCAAGAUGCUUCGAUCCGAUCGAGGAGGAGAGUACCUAAGUCUUGAAUUCCACGAUUAUCUCAAGGAGUGUGGAAUAGUUUCACAAUUGACGCCUCCUAGGACACCGCAGUUGAAUGGUGUGGCAGAAAGGCGUAAUCGAACCUUAUUGGAUAUGGUUCGCUCUAUGAUGAGUCGUGCUUCACUACCUAUCUCUUUUUGGGGGUAUGCCUUAGAGACUGCCGCCCAUAUCCUUAACCGAGUCCCUACUAAGAAGGUUGCCAAAACACCUCACGAGAUGUGGACAGGGAAAGCUCCCUCGUUGGCACAUAUCAAGGUUUGGGGUUGCGAGGCUUUCGUAAGACGAGAUACUCACGACAAGCUUGAACCUCGAAGUGAGCGAUGUAUUUUCAUCGGCUACCCGCAGACAUCCUUUGGAUAUCUCUUCUAUAGACCGAAGGACAAUGUUGUCUUCGUUGCGAGGAGAGGAGUUUUCCGAGAGCGAGAACUCAUAAGCCAAGGAGACAGUGGGAGGCAAAUCGAACUUGAAGAGAUUCAAGAGUCGAUAGAUGAAGGAACCUCUACCGCUGGCACUCAACCCGAGGAGGAAACUCCGGUUGAACCGAUUGACGAAUCCUUACCUCUUAGACGUUCCGAUAGAGUUAGAGUUCUUCCCCAGUUUUAUGGUUUUCAUAUUACUACCGAAGGGGACACGUAUAUUAGUGAUGGUACACUAGUAAAUCUUGAUGAACCUAAUAGCUAUAAGGAAGCCAUGGCAGGCCCGGAGUCUGCAAAAUGGAAAGAGGCAAUGGAUAGCGAGAUCCAAUCCAUGUAUGAUAACCAAGUUUGGAAUUUGGUUGAUUAUGUGCCCGGACGUAAGACCGUUGGGUGCAAAUGGAUCUUCAAGAAGAAGACCGACGUGGAUGGAAACGUACACACAUAUAAAGCGCGAUUGGUUGCGAAGGGCUUUACUCAAACUCCCGGAGUUGACUAUGAUGAGACCUUCUCACCAGUUGCGAAGAUUAAAUCUAUUAGAGUGAUGCUAGCAAUUGCCGCAUUUCAUGAUUAUGAGAUUUGGCAAAUGGAUGUCAAGACCGCUUUCCUUAACGGAAAGUUGGCUGAGGAUGUUUACAUGGCUCAGCCAGAGGGGUUUGUGGAUCCGAAGCAUCCGGAUAGAGUGUGUAAGCUUGAGAAGUCCAUUUAUGGACUUAAGCAAGCGUCUCGCAGAUGGAAUCUUUGCUUCGAUGAGAAAGUCAAAGAGUUUGGAUUUGUACGAAGCGAAGACGAAUCUUGUGUAUAUGUCAAAGCCAGUGGGAGUAUAGUAAGCUUCCUCGUUCUAUAUGUCGAUGACAUAUUACUCAUAGGAAACGACAUCCCGACUCUGCAGGAGGUUAAGUCCUGGCUCGGGAAGUGCUUCGCUAUGAAGGACCUCGGAGAGGCUUCUUACAUUUUGGGAAUAAGGAUAGUAAGAGAAAGAAGUAAGAGACUAAUUGGACUUAGUCAGAAUACUUACUUAGAGAAGGUACUAAAACGUUUUAGUAUGGAAAACUCAAAGAAGGGAGAACUACCGAUACAAAGUAAUGCCAAAUUGAGUAAGACUCAAAGUCCGAGUACCGAAGCUGAGAUAGCAGAAAUGAGCCGAGUACCAUACGCUUCCGCAGUUGGCUCAAUCAUGUACGCUAUGACUUGUACUCGCCCUGAUGUAGCCUUCGCUUUGAGCAUGGUUAGCAGAUAUCAAGGGAAUCCUGGCAAAGCACAUUGGAUUGCGGUGAAGAAUAUCCUUAAGUACCUUCGGAGGACGAAGGAAUGGUUCUUAGUCCUCGGAGGGAGUGAUGACUUGAAGGUGCGAGGGUAUAGUGACGCCAGUUUUCAGACCGACAGGGACAACUACCGUUCGCAGUCGGGCUGGGUCUUUACCCUAAAUGGAGGAGCAGUGACAUGGAAGAGUUCCAAGCAGGAAACCGUAGCUGAUUCAACGUGCGAAUCAGAGUACAUUGCAGCGAGCGAAGCGUCGAAGGAGGCAAUAUGGCUAAAGAACUUCAUCGGUGAUCUUGGAGUUGUACCUGCCAUAAAGGAGCCCAUGGAGAUUUUCUGUGAUAACGAAGGAGCGGUUGCCUUGACCAAGGAACCGAGGGAUCAUGGUAGAUCAAGACAUAUCGACAGAAAAUAUCACUUCAUCAGACAUCGUGUAGAAGAAGGACAACUCGUAGUGAAGAGGAUAUCAUCAGAAGAUAACCCAGCAGAUCCGCUUACGAAGGGACUGAGUAGGGUUAAGCACUUGCAGCAUGCUAGGAGUAUUGGGCUGAAGGAUGAUAUUAGCAUAGAUUAGAUAGUAUUAGAAACGUGUAAUAGAUAAAUGUAAUUAACAUUUGAUGAUUAAAUAAAGGAGUUUUAUUUAUGAGUAAUGUUACUAUCUUAUGUUAAUUGUUUAGCUAUUGUUUCACUUUGCAUGUUUUGACUUCCAGAAUAAUUGAGUUUAUUAGGAAUAAUCGAAUUGUUCAAAUGGUCCACAAUCGUUCAUAUGUUGGGAGUAGAUAUGAAUGAAGAUUGUCAUGAAUUGGUGUGUAGAAUGUCUAAAUGGUGUUAGACAUAGCAAAGGAUUGCUGCAACGUUCAUGAGUGCUUAUGAACUAGUUUUGAGCAUUGGAAUAAACCCGCGCUUGCUGGAAUCACCUUAUGGAAUACGAUAUAAAAGGUGAUCGCAAGACGAUAAUAUCAUAUAGUCUUAAAACCUAGAUAUAUGGUUUAUUAUUUGUUAAUUGAUUGUACAUUGAUAAUACGAAAACGCAUCAGUAACUUGGUGUUAUAAAACGUAUUGUUGUGUAUAGUUGGUUAAUGAAUAAGUAAAUGCAUAUAAGUCGAAGUUUAUCUGUAACUUUUAUCUAAGAAGGUAAAAGCGAUAUCUCGGCCGCUCGAUGAUUUGAUUUGACUUAUGUGCCGGGCCCGGUCAGAACUGAAUUGAUGUGUUCGAUUAAGUUCUAUGUCAAAUAAAUCAGAGAUCGAGAAACCUAAAUGCUUGACUAACCAUUCCAUAGGAUUGUCAGCAUGAUAUCUAACAGAGGACUGUACGUUCCCUUAUCUAAAGGACAAGAUUGAUUAGAUCAGAGUUGACAGCGUCUUUGAGAGCUACGAUUGCAAACCGAAUUGUACUUGUAUAGUUACUAGACUUAUCCAAGUGGGAGACUGUUGGAAUAGUGUCUAAGGCUGUAACUAUAUUAGGCAAGUAUUUGAUCCGGUUGUGCAUGGUCCUUUUGGGUUGCCUUCACCAUAGCAACUUGAUAGGAUGAUUUAUUAAGAGAGAGUAAAUAUUAUUAUAAAGAAUAAUAAUAUUGUUAAUAUAAGUCAUAGAAUUAAUUGGAAUUAAUUUGGUGGCUUAAAGAGAUUAUUAAAUAAGAGGGUAUAAACUGUCAAUUGUUUGAUAGUUAAGCUUUAGACUAUAAAUCCUUAUAGAUAUAUAGUGGACGGAUUCUAGAAGCUAGGAUAGCUUCAAAAUCGUCCAAGGUGUUAUCUAGGAAUGGAUUUGGAUAGGCUUAAGAGAAGAUUAUCCAAUAGGGUUUAGGUUGUAACCCUUAAGGAGUCUACAAGUAUAAAUAGACCCCAAGGCUGAGGGAAUUCGACACUCCAUCUAGAAUAGAGAACCUCUGGCCGAAUUCCUCCCUUCUCCUCUCUCCUAAACCAUCUUCCUUGGUAUUGGUGUUUGUAAGCCAUUAGAGGAGUGACAAUUGUGACUCUAGAAGCUCCAAGACAACAAGGUCAACAAGGAAUUCAAAGGUAUGAUUCUAGAUCUGUUUCAAUAUUGUUAUUUAACCUAAUUAGUCAUUAGAAGUCUUGGAUUCAAAGCAUGUUUAAUUAGAAAGCCUAGAUCCAAGCAUUAGGGUUUUGCAUGCGCACAUAGGAAAGUUCUUAUGGCUAAAACCCAUCAAGGAUGACCCGAUUGCGUUAUGUUCUAUUUUGAUUACUUGAUGCUCAAAUGCAGCUUGUUUUGUGCUUUUAGGAGUUCUUGCUAAUUUUGGCUUGCUAGUAAGCAAAUAUGCUAUGUUACAUAUUAUGAACACUAAAUAAUUUUAGAAGGUUAAGAUUAACUCUAUUGUGCAGCUCUUGUUUGAGUCCAACCGUUGUAGUGAGAGGCCUCAUAUUUGAAGAAUUAUAUAGUUUUUGUAAUAUGUAAUUGUAUUUGUGAGCUAGUUAGAGGAGGUUAGCAUAAGUUCCUUCUACAGCUGAUGACGGAUAGUGGUGUGGAGUUUGCCCUAGGAAAAACCUACGAUGAGAUUUAGCGUUGGGAGCUUUCGCUGUGAAGGAUAUGUUAGUUAUAGAGUAAUUUGGUUGAGUUAAGGCACUCCUUGAGGAAAGUACAGAUAUAUAUAUAUAUAUAUAUAUAUAUANCUACAAUGAAGCUAGGGAGCUUGUGUGGUUGUGAUUUCCCCGAUAUACACAUUGAUGCUUAUUCUGAUAGUUUUAUGGUCUAUUUUCAGUAUGGUGGUAUUGCGAGGCAAGACAGUGGGCAGUUCCGAUGUUGGGGAGGGUUCGGGCUUAGGUUCUUGAGCAGGGAAACUUGAUGACCAUACGAGGGAUUUAAUCUCGUCUGAGAUUAUACGCAAUAUCUUUGAUCACACUCUUGUGAUCUUUGGCACGGUCAAGGAGGGUAUUCUAGAGAUUCUUGAUGAGAGAUUGAGCGCCUUUCACGCUAAGAUUGGGGAUUUGAUCAGGACGCACUCUUUGACCUUCAGGGAGUUUCAGGCGCGUGGAGCGCCAUACUAUCAUGAGGCUAGGGAACCCAUUGCGAGCAACAAGUGGUUGGCAGAUGUCGCUAAUGCAUUCCAUACCAACCGUUGUCCCGAGGGGGACGAGGUCAGGUUAGCUUCCUGCCUUCUGAAGGAUGGGUCAUGUGAUUGGUAGGAGGAGGUAGGGCAUGCUAUAGGAGAUGAUCUGGCUAUUGAUUCGAUGACCUGGAGUGAUUUCUCGACUAGGUUCCAGGCCGAGUUUGCACCGGUGAUUGAGGUGCUGCAGUUGGAGCGAGAGUUCCAAGAUCUCCGUCAUACUACUGAGACGGUGACUGAGAUCACCGCUAUGUUUAGGGAGCGGGCGCUUCUAGUUUUGCAGUAUGUGGAGGACAAGGAGAUGAAGAAGGACCAGUAUCAUGAGAUGUUGAGGAGUGAUAGUCGGCAGUUUCUUAGCCGAUCCAGCUACAAGACGUUGGAAGACAUGAUAGCGAGGGCAAGGAAGAGGGAGAUGACUUAGAGAUAGAGAGGAAGAGGAAGCUAGAUUCUGCUGCGAGUGUUGAGGGUUUUGGGCAAGAGGCCCAAGUGUUGGGAAUAAAUCCGAGAUGACGAAUGCGGAAUAUCAAGAAUAAUCACGAAUCAAUCACCAUAAUAUGCAAGUAAUAUGUCAAAGGAUUUGUGUAUAUUGAUUUUGAUAUGAACGUACAAAGAAAACCCUAAUCAGAAAAAAGCUUUCAUCAAAAGCUAACAUAAUGAUUAUUUAUAGGGAACAUAAAAUAUUUACCAAAAAUAUAAAACCAAUGCGUUAGAAGAGCUCGAUGAAGAACUUUUACUGUAAAGGCACCGUAGGGAAUCACAAAAAGAUUAACCCUAAAAAGGCUUCCUUAAAUAACUAAACAUGCCAAAUCAGUUUCAAUAUCUCAAAUACUUAACAAGCUCCCCCUAGAUGUUGAAACUGAUGAACAUCAUGAUUUCUGAUCUUCUUGGCAUUUCUCCACCUAAAUUGUGAGACUCAUCAGCACAUGGGGUCUUGAAAGCGAGAGAAACAAAUAACGUCUUCCAAACAUUGACCCCCCCCCCUUGAAUAAUCAUCACUCCCCCUUGAAUCUUCAACAAAUACCAUUGAGAGAAUCCGGAAAGUUAAGAAAAAUCACCAACAAUCUUCGCUAUCUCAUAGAGUAAGUCGUAAAACCUGCUCUGUCAUAAUGAGCGAUUUCGCCAAAAUAGAUCUUCAAAACCUGUCAGAUUUAAUGAAACAAAUCCCUUUUGAAUAUUCACAAUUCUAAAAAAAAUAAAACUGGAAAAAUAACAAAAAUUAACUUUGUAUUCUUCGACUUUUAAAUAUUGGACAAAAAGAAUGGAGUAAGAAGCAAUUAUUUAGAAGGGUUUGAAAAGAAUAAGAUCAAAGAAAGGGAUAAGAAAUGAAAAUAGUUUGGAAAGAAAGGGUAAAAAUGGUAAAACCCACAAAAUUGUAAAGGAAUUAGGAAUCUGGGGUGGAAAAUCUUAAGAUCUGAAAGACUAGGGGUUGAUUUUGACAAAAAUAAGGCAUCUUCAUGUAAAUGGAACGGAGAAUGCAUGAUCUUUGACUCCAAAAGUCAAAAUCCAGUUUAACGAGCAUAUUUGAGUCGCAGUAAGUCCCGACGAGCAACGAUCCAAACAAUUUCCGACUGAGACAUAUUCCCAGUCAUGAUUCCGAGACCAUAUCCAAUUCCGAUCAACAAAUAAAUUUUGAUUGCUUAAAUUCUGAACUCGAUUUUGAAGCUUUGAAAGUCCGAUUGCAAGUUUCAACAAAUCUGAAUUACGAUGGACUCCAAUUCCGAUUCUGAAUGAUGACUCCGAUUGGUGCUGAUUAAUAACUUUAUUCACUUGCGAGUUCGAUUUUGAGAAUGAAUUUUCCGAUUCCCAUGCUAGGAAUGAUUUGGACGAGAGCAGUUUCGGAUGUCAAAUAUUGGUUCUAAAACCCGAUUCCAGAACUCUGAUCCCUGUGAAUGAUUUCCGAGUUCGUGACAUUCAAUGCCAAUUCCCAACGUAUACAGAUGAAAUUCGAUUUCUGAUUUCGUAUACCAACACAUCUUUAGAGCUCCGAAGGAUUGCAACCUCCGAGCCUAGAAUACCGAACGCAGAACUCCAAAUGACUCCGAGCGUUCGGAGAUGAACAGUGAACUCCGAGUUCUUAUGCGAGUCCGAUUGUGAAUUGUUCCGAAUGCUCGGAGUUUGAAUCAUUUUCCGAUUUCAGCUUUGACGAUUCGCAGGUAUGAACGAAUGAUUUAUUAAGUUUCCGAAAACUAACCUUAACUUUCAUUGAAUUGGCAGACUAUACCCAUGACUCCGAAACAAAUCAAUUGUGUGUAUAACUCCGAAAGUAACCCUUAAAGAUUGAUCAAAAUGGCAGAUUUCCCCCAAAUUACGAAAGCAACCUCUUUUUGUUAAUAACUCCGAAUCUAGCCCCAAUUUUUCCAUAAUCCCGAAUCUGACCCUCCUGUUACAGUGAACUGACAACUUGCACCCCUUUUGCUGAAAUGUGUCAUAUGGCAGCCCUCUUUUUACAGAAAAUGUCCUUUUUCACCCACUUUUCACCUUUUUGUCAUACCAACCAUUAAAAAUCAAUAAAAAUGGAUUUCUUCAACACAAUUUCACAUCUUUGAUUGAAUUUUCACCUGAUUUUGUCCCCUUUUUUGAUUUUUUUUGUUUUUUAAGACAAAAUUUUUAUGAGACUUUUGGUACCCAUUUAAGAUUCAAGAUUGAGGUUGGUUUCUUGCACAUCCAUUUAUUUGAAAAAAAAUCGAUCAUCUUCCGAAAAUAAUACCAGCUUUUUAGUUGGAAAACAAAAUUUUCCAAAAGUUUCAUUAAACCAACCAAAUAAUCUUUUCUCUUUUCUCCAACUUCUAACAUAUUUAUCUGAAGAAAAAUUAAAUUUUCUUUGAACAUUCUUGACUUUAGCUUUUUGAACCUUCGUACUUGUACGUUGGGCAUCCAAACCUUGUUCAUUUUACUCUUCUUCUUCUUCUUCUUCUUCUUUCUUUUCUUAUUUCUAGGCUUCAUAAACGAAUUUCGGAUCUAAACAACCUCUUCACCAUUCUGAGUCUGAACAUUUAAAGACUUUUGAACACAAUCCUUAGGAGUUAGGUAAAUAUGAACAUCUUGAAUUAUUGGCUUUCUAUAUGGAACCAAUCCUUCAAAAACAUCAUCAGAACUAAAAGAAUCAUCUGUUUGAGUUCCAAUAGAACAAAAUUUCUUUACUUUCACGAUUUCAGAAAAUUUGCUUUGAGAUUCAUCUUCAGAACAACUACAUGCAGAUGGUGAUACUUCUAUAAAACUUGAAACUUUAGACUCCCCCGCAACACGAAGAUAUGGAGUCACUUUUUCUUCAGAAACAUGACGAACAUUAUGAACAUCACCAAGAACACCAAGAACAUCUUCCUUUUUCUUUUCAACUCUUUUCAUCUCCAAAAUCUGUUGUUUAUUUUCCCGAUCUAAAUAUCUAUGGAUAAUAUGAAAUUGUUUUACUAUUCUCUUAUUCUUUUUUAACUCACCGUCAUUAACACAUGAGAAUUCAGAUAUUUUCUUAUCAACAAUAAGAUUAUACAACUCAGUAACAUCCCUCAACGUUAAUUGACAAAGAAUAUGAAACAUAGUCACUCUGUUAACACCAUAGAUUGGUUUAGUAACCUUUAAUCCAAGUUCUAAAAUGGAGUCAAACAAUAAAUUCAUUUCAUCAAUUAGAUCUUCAACAAGUGACCUAACUUGAAGAGAGGGAAAGUAGAUCUGAUAAGAAUUCUAGAGAGAGAAAAUGGAUCUGAGAUGGUUUCUAGAGAGAUAAAGUAGAUCUGAACACAAACAUGCGAAUAAAUACGAAAUUUCUCUUCUAUUUUACUUCCAAAACACGAAUCAAGAACAAAUUAAGUAAAAUACCAGAUCCGGGAUGGUUUUUGCAAUAAAACGAGGUAUUAAACUUUUUCUUUUCAGAAAACUUACAAAACUUGAAGAACAAGGUGAGAUUCACGAAAAAAAAAAAGUCGCCAUGAACAAGAUCGAUUCUAGCAAUAAUCGCUGAGAUCUACAAGAACCCGCUCUGAUACCACUUGUUGGGAAUAAAUCCGAGAUGGCGAUUACAGAAUAUCAAGAACAAUCACGAAUCAAUCACCAUAAUAUGCAAGUAAUUUGUCAAAGGUUUUGUGUGUAUUGAUUUUGAUAUGAACGUACAAAGAAAACACUAAUCAGGAAAAAGCUUCCAUCAAAAGCUAACCUAAUGUUUAUUUAUAGGGAACAUAAAAUAUUUACCAAAAAUAUAAAACCAAUGCCUUAGAAAAGCUAGAUGAAGAACUUCUACUGUAAUGGCACCGUAGGGAAUCAUAAAAAGAUUAACCCUACAAAAGGCUUCUCUAAAUAACCAAACAUGCCAAAUCAGUUUCAAUAUCCCAAAUACUUAACACCAAUGUAUCUGAUUCUAGACCGAGAGGCCAGUAUGGUCGUAGCCGCUGUGGCAAGUGCGGCAAGACACACAAGGGGAUGUGGUAGAGGGGUGAGUUUUGGCUGCUUCAAGUGCGGCCGGACUGGUCAUAUUAGCAGAGAUUGUAUUGCUACUGCCCCAUCACUCUAGUAUACGAUUUGAUUUGCAUUUAGUGCAAUCAUAGGGGCCACGAGAAAGCCCAUUGUCAGAGUUUGGCUGCGGUAGGACCGGUGUCAGUACCUGCUCCUACGACAUUGAGGAUUACUGACGGCCGUCAGGGUCGAGCAGAUGCGUCAGCGGAAAAGAACAAGGUUUACCAGGUGACGGUGGAGGAGGCGCAUGCAGCUCCUGAUGUUGUGACAACUAUGUAUCUUCUCCUUAUAUUUUUAUCUAUAUUAGAUUGUUUCUUAUGUUUAUGUGUUUUAUUUUAUGAUCGUUCCUCGUGAAUAGUAUCUCUGCCUUGGUAUUAUUUGAUUCGGGGGCUACCCGAUCUUUUGUAUCUCUUGCGCUUAGCAAGAGAUUUGUUGGAGCUCCAAGGGAGCUGGAUUGUCCUUUAUAUGCCAAGAUUGAUGAUGAUAGUUCGAUUCGAGUUGAGAGGGUUCAUCUAGGGUGUACCCUUCAUUUAUUCAGCGAGUAGUAUCCGGUGGAUCUAGUUCCUAUUCCUUUGCGUGGGAACAAGAUUAUCAUGGGCAUGGAUUGGUUGAGUCCUAAUGGGGAAGUGAUCGACUGUGAGCAGCAGGUGGUUUGGGUUCAUACCCCAGGUUGGGGAGACUUGGUGAUUUAGGGUGAAACACCAUAGUAUGGGCCGGAUAUGUAUUCUGCAGCAAGGGUCUGAUGCUACCUUCAGCAGGGUUGUGCGGGUUUUGUCGCCUAUGUCAUGGAAACCCGAGAUAAGGGUAAUGCGACUGUGGAUGAUGUGUUGAUUGUGCGAGAGUAUCCGGAUGUGUUCCCGGAGGAUUUGCCUAGGGUACAUCCGGAGAGAUAGGUAGAGUUCAAGAUUGAAUUUGUUCCAGGUGCGGCUCUGAUAGCCGAAGCACCGUAUCGGUUGGCUCCUCUUGAGAUGCAAGAGUUGUCUACAUAGCUAUAAGAGCUUUUAGACAAGGGAUUUACCAGGCUGAGCAGUUUGCCUUGGGAAGCCCCGAUUCUGUUUGUGAGGAAGAAGGAUGGAUCUAAUCGGAUGUUUAUCGACUAUCCGGAGUUGAAUAAGGUAACUGUGAAGAACCAUUACCCCCUCCCAAGGAUUGAUGAUCUUUUCGACCAACCUCAUGGUGCAUCUUGGUUCUCAAAGAUUUAUGUGCGAUUGGGUUAUCAUCAAAUGCAAGUCAGGGAUGAGGAUGUGUAGAAGACAGCUUUCCGAAGUCGCUGUGGCCAUUAUGAGUUCGUGGUGAUGCCAUUUGGGCUCACUAAUGCUCCUGCCGUAUUCACGGAUCUCAUGAACUAUGUGUACAGACCGAUGUUAGCUCUGUUCGUGACAGUCUUUAUUGAUGAUAGAUUGGUCUAUUCCAAGACGCAAGAACAGCACGAGGAGAACUUAAGGGAGGUGCUUGAGACAUUGAGGAGGGAGAGACUUUUUGCAAAGUUCUCCAAGUGAGUUCUGGUUGUGUGAGGUGCAGUUCUUGGGGCACCUCAUCAAUCAGAAGGGUAUUCUAGUCGAUCCUUCCAAGGUCGAGGAUGUGAUGCCGUGGGAGGUUCCAAGGUCUCCAUCUGAGAUUCAAAGUUUCGUGGUUUGGCUGGUUAUUAUUGAAGAUUUCUCCAAGAUUUUUAUUUCAUUACCCCGACUGACCAAGAAGUCGAUGACGUUUCGCUAGGGGCCUGAGCAACAGGCAUCCUUCAAGACUCUUAGAAAAUGUUUGUGUGAGGCGCCGAUUCUGACCUUGCCAGAGGGUUUCGAUGAUUUUGUGGUUUAUUGUGCUGCCUCGAUCAGGAGUUUAGGAGCAGUGUUAAUGCAGCAGAGUCGUGUGAUCGCUUACGCUUCGAGGCAUUUGAAGCCUCAUGAGGCAAAUUAUCCAACUCAUGAUUUGGAGCUGGGGGUUGUGGUUUUGGCCCUCUAGAUUUGGUGGCAUUACCUCUAUGGGGUUCGUUGUACUAUUUACACGAACCACAAGAGCCUGAGGUAUUUGAUGGAUCAACCGAACCUGAAUACGAGACAACGUCGUUGGUUGGAUGUGGUGAAGGAUUAUGAUUGCAAGAUCCUUUAUCACCUGGGGAAGGCCAAUGUGGUGGCCGAUGAUCUCAGCCGCAAGGCACCCGUGGCUCCGAUUCAUGGUAUAUGCUAGAGGAUGAUAGUGAUUACUCCAUUCAUGGAACAGAUUCGGGAAGCAUAGGUUGAGGCUAUGAAGGAAGAGCGUCGGAAGUGUGAGCGGAUUGUUGGUCAAGUGGCUUCCUUCGAUUAUGAUAGUUGUGGAUUGUUGACUUUGCAUCGGAGGGUCUGGGUUCCGUAUUGGGGCGAGGUGUGCCAUGUUCUGAUGGAUGAGGCUCACAAUUCGAGAUUCUCCAUUCAUCCCGGGAUGACGAAGAUGUAUAAGGAUCUUCGCCCUGGUUAUUGGUGUCCCUGCAUGAAGCGGGAUAUAGCAUGGUUUGUGGAGCAGUGCUUGACUUGCAGGAAAGUCAAGGUCGAGCAUCAGCGACCUCAUGGCAAUAUGCAGCCAUUGGAGAUUCCCAUAUGGAAAUGGGAAGACAUCACAAUAUAUUUUAACACGAAGCUUCAAAGGACUACGCGCGGAGUGGAUUCUAUUUGGUUCAUCAUGGACCGAUUGACCAAGAGUGUGCACUUCAUUCCAAUCCAGGAGAGUAUUUCUGCAAAGAAGUUACCCGAGAUUCAUGUUCUUGAGGUGGUGGCACAUCAUAGGGUGUCGGUGUUGGUGGUUUCAAACUGGGAUGUCCGUUUUACUUCUAGGUUUUGGAAGCGGUUUCAUGACGAGAUGGGUACUCGUCUCCAUUUCAGUACGACUUUUCAUCCGCAUACCGACAAGCACAGUGAGCGGACGAUUCAGACUCUUGAGGAUAUGCUAUGUGUGUAUUGGAUUUUGGUGGGAGUUGGGAUACGUAUCUUCCGUUAGUGGUAUUUUCGCAUAACAACAGUUAUCACACUAGCAUUGAUUAACCUCCUUUUGAGAUGCUCUACAGGAGGAAAUGCAGGACCUAGAUUUGUUGGGGUGAUGUUGUUCGGCGAGUCAUGGGGAUUACCGAGGUAGUACUUAAGACUACUGAGCUGAUUCAGCAUGUUCAGAGCAGGCUCCAGAUAGAUCAGAGUUGGCAGAAGAGCUACACCGACAAGCGUCGGUCAGAUUUAGAGUUCCAGGUAGGAGAUAGGGUUCUCCUGAAGGUGUCACCUUGAAAGGUGUCAUCCAGUUCAGGAAGCGGGGCAAGCUGGGCCCCAGGUAUAUCAGUCCCCUCAGGGUUUUGGCUCGGGUGGGCCAGGUUGCGUAUCGUCUAGAUCUUCCAACUGAGCUCAGUUAGAUUCAUAACACAUUUCAUGUCUCCCGAUUGCGGCAGUGUUUAUUGGAUGACUCUGCAGUGGUACCCUUAUAGAUUAUUCGAGUGGAUGACUACUUGAAUUAUGUUGAGGGACUAGUGGUAAUAAUAGAUCAGAAGACAAAAACCUUUAGGAACAAUGUUGUAGAGAUAGUGAAGAUGUAGUGGUUACACCGCAAGGGGUCAUAGUGGACUUGGGAGCCCAAGGAGGAGAUGAAAGAGCAUUUUCCAAAUUCGUUCAGCGCAGCGGACUUCAAGGACGAACUCUGAUUCAAGUGGGGGAGAAUUGUAAUAUCCAUGAUUCCAAGGUAUUGCUAAUUUGGGCCUCUUCGUUUUUGGGCUACCUAAAGUCGUACACUGGGUGUAAGCUGGGCAUACGUGGGGCAUAGUAAGAUCAUGGAAAACACAGAGCCAUGCACGUAUGCGCAACAUACUAAGUGGUACGUGAAGUGUACGUUUUCUGACUUAAAACCCUAAUUUUUAGGGUUCAAGCCAUAUAAAUAUGUCAUUAUGUCCCAUUCCCUAGCCUCCUUAGCUCAGAAACCCUAAAAUCUAACCCUUAUAAUCCUUGUGUGUUCUUGACCUUGUGGAGUUCAUUUUUGGCAGCUUGGAGCUUUGGAAAGAAGAAGAGGAAGUUAGUGAAGGAGAGUUAGUGAACCUUGAGCUUGAAAAUCCGAAACAUCAUCAUCAUUUAACACUUAUUUGAGGUAUAAACUUCUGAACUUGCCUUAUGAAUGCUUAGAUCUCUUGUAUUUGUGUUUUUGGACCAUUUUGGUCCCAUGGAUGUAGCUUUAUUGAUCAAAGUCGUUUCUUAAUCUUAGGGCUACCACCCUUCAUGUUAUUUGAGUCCCUAAGUCAUAAAGUUGCCAUCUUGGAGGUCUUAAAGCAUCCAUGCAUGAGUAUUGGUCAUUUCUAAGGAAGUAGGUUGUCAUAUUCCAAGUUUGGGUUCAUUUGGGGGCAUGCAAGCCACCAAGUGGUCAACUUUAUGGGUUAAGACCCUUCAUUGGAUUCAGAUAUGUGUUUGGAGCCUCAUAUUUUAAGGAUUUAAGUGCUUUUUGGGAUUUUGGCUUAAUAGGAGAGUACGAUGAGCAUACAAGCUCGUACGCACAGCGUGCAUGCCAUGCAGCCUGUACGCUUAAUGUACAGAUGAGUACGCCCCACAUACUCACUGAGUUGGGCUUUAGGUUGUUUGGGCCUCGGUUUGGGUUACUUUCACAGAUUAGUGACUUGGGCCAUGGUGGACCAUCUGGAACUGGACCAAUGGGCCAGAGAAACAUUAUUAGGCCUUUGGCUAAGGCCCAUGCGAAAGGAUUGGGCCCAAUUGGAAAUUGAUAUGUAUAUUGGACUUCAUGGGAUUUCUUAUCUUUUGGGCCAUGGGUUGUGAUUUAAGGACCAAGUUAUGUUAUGGGUAAAAUAAUCUUUUACCCUACGUAGGGAUUUUUGGUUAAUGAGGUAGAUCUCUUUGUUUAUUAGCUUUUAUUUGGAAAUUGUUAGCUUAGAGAGUUGUAGGACUAGCAGUCAAGGAUCAUUUCUUUCAGUCAGCUUAUCAAGGUGAGUUUCCUUAUUCGGUUUAGCGGGUCGAAGGCACCAAUGUCGGCCCAUGUUUAUCAUAUGUUGUUAGUAUGCUAGCUGUCUUUCUGCAUCUUACAUGGGCUUGUGUUUAUAUGUUUUCUAAGAUAAGGCCCGAUGUCGAGCGGGGCCUUAUGAAUAAUUGUAUACUAUGUAUCUCUGUGAUUAUUGCAUGUGUAUGUGUUUAUUUGAUAUAUGUUAUUGUAUGUUGGGUGAGGCCCAUUUUCCGAGCUCAGCUCGAUGUCAGAUGGGGCGAUGACAGGGCAAGGCGCACUAUAUGUUUAUUGUAUGUUGGCUGUGACAUCCCCAUUUUCACGGUCAGAAAAGUCUGAUUUUGUUUAUGCUUUGUUUGAAAAAUUAGAGUAACAUUUUAAAUAAAAGUGUUGCGGAAUUUGUCCCAAAACAAAAUAUGACAAAGAUUUAUCAAAAGCAUUUCCAUAGAAACGUAUUUCAUUAAAAAAGACUCUGGAUGUCAUGUUCGAUAUAGAUCAUAAGCAUAAACAAUACAAGAUAGGCCUUACUACAUUAUUCUGUAUUUACAGGCCUAAAAUCCCUUAAUCUCUCAUCCCAAGACAUCACAUCUAUGCUCAUGCGCCACUACCUGUAAUACAAGAAACUGAGUGGGUCAGGCUUGGGAGCCUGGUGAGCACCUAUGGUUUUCAACCCACAAUAAUUAAGUUUACUAACUUUAUCAAAACAAACAAACCCGAUUACCCGUUCCCGUUAUCCUCACUUUACGUCCCUAAAACAUCUAACAUAAGGGACCUAGUCUACAGACUUUCAUCGGGAUGGACACUACUGCUAAGGAGAUUCCUCAGCAAUAAAUGUCCUUAAGGCAACCAUGUGGGGGAUGGAGUACACCUGGUGAGCACACAGUUCAAAUAAACACCUACAAGUUGCGAUCCUGCUAGCAUUCCAUUGGACUGUCUAAAAUAGUUCGUGGUCGUCAUCUAUACUCCACUAGAUGACUGGAUCAUCAAGAACAUCUAUAACGAGGCCUCUUAUUAUUUUAUUCUGUCACACUACAACUAUUACAUCUACCAAUAUUUUACCCAACACAUUUUGUAUAUAUAAAAUACACAUACAGUUUAAAUCAUUUAAAACUUGUAUAAAAUCGUUCAUCCAGCAUAGAUAGCAAGUAUACAGAUAAUAUGCACACACAACACGUAAUUUAUAUAAAAUACUUUAUAUCUAUGUGUAAGCUAAAAGUAACUAUGCACUCACUUGAAAGGUGGUGACUUUGCACUUGAACAACGCUUUGUUAUCUCAAAACAAUUUUCCCUCGACAAAACCUAGUAUCAUUACCACUAGGUUUUAGUCUAACGAUAACCGCGACUAAUUAAUAGUCUGGCUAUUAUUACUAUUAUAUAAGCGCGACACAAUACUUUUCACCCACUAUAUACAGACGAGGCCAGACAUGAAACACCAGAGGGAAGGGUCAUAUCAGCAUAAAAGCACUUCUGAAUCCAACAUCCCAAGCGGCCCUCCAAACCGGAACCCCCGUACCGCGAGUGGUGAAAAAGAUAUUAUAAAGGCAUUAUAUAACCCAUAAUAAUAGUCCAAAUAAUUAUUCUAAGGUCCUAAUAACAUUACGAUAAUUAUUUAAAAGAUAUAUUAAAAGUUGUGUAGCUGUAGCUCACUUACAGCGUGUUUUAAAGAAAACUGGGAUUUGCUCGGAGCAGCGUUUCGAAACCGAAAGACCCUUUUUCUCGGGACUCCUGGAGCCUCGGGGCUUCCUUCGGGUGCUAGGGGUUCACCUAGACUUUAGGAAGGGUUAAAACCCUUAGAGAGAGAAAUUAUUUUAGAGAGAGAAAGAGAAUGGUGUGAUAUUUUCGGAAGCUCUAUUUAUAGGAGUCAGCAGCCUCGGGUACGCUGGAUGUCCAGCAGUCUAAGUUGGGCGUAGGCUUCGGAUAAGGGUGCCAGGCGGAUCCAGUUGGCUCGCACUCGGACUCGGACGGAUAAGGCCGAAGGUACGCUAGGCGUACCAUCCUCGGACGAGGGGCGUAAUAGCGAGGGCUACGUGGCGUGAUCCGAAGCGACUCCUGAACCAACAUCGGACGGCCCAAAUGUUGCCACGUCAACAAGUUCUUAUUAGACUUCGCAAUUUCGACUACAAACUUUAAAAAUUCGUAUCUUUCGCAUACGAGCUCCACUUUUGAUGUUCUUUAUAUCCACACGAAGGUGGGAAUGUACUCUACAACUUUCGUUUAGACUCCGUCGGCUAAUUUUGAAUUUAUUUUAAAUCUUAUAUUUCUAACAGGCCGGGACAAAAUUGGUCCGUUAAAAAUCCAUAACUUCUUCAUCCGACGUUCUUUUUCGUUCAUCUUUUUAUCGUUAUGCUACUAUUAACGAGAUCUUCGAUUCUCGUUUAGGUUGUGUCGGCUAAAAACCGCUUGAUCUAAUAUUCGAAUUUCGGGUUGUACAUUGUUAAGCCGAAUCUUCGAAAAAUCAUAACUUCCUCAUACGCUAUCAGAUUUGGGCGUUCUUUUUAUGGAUGCUCUCAGUUUAACGUAUACUGCAACUUUGGUUUAGAUCACUAAGGCUAAAAAGUCAUCCAUCGUAUAUUCACUAUUUACGUCUCCCGGUAUCGUACCGGUUUCAUCGCGAAACUUCAACAGGUCAUAACUUCUUCGUUAUAACUCGGAUUUCGGCGUUCUUUAUAUCUCUGGAAUCCUUGUUUCAACCACUACAACUUUAUGUAAAGAUAUCGGGUUUAUGCCACUCUUUAAUUUUGACGCUUAUUUUCAUCCCUUAUUUAUUAUACUUUAUAAUUAAGUUAUAAGCACACAAAUACACAUAAUUCACAUAGUAUUCAAAUAUUUCAUCUUUAUUACUUCAAAAGAGUUACAAUAGUUGACUUAGACUAUUACAUCAUCUAAAAAAUGCUUAGCCUCGAAACACAGACGUUACAUUUGCUAUGUUGUAUUUUGGGGGAACUUACUAAGCUUCGUGCUUACGCAUUUUAAUUUAUGUUUCAGGUACUUCUGAUAGUAAACGGAAGAGCUCUGGAUGACUGCAUCGCACACACCAUUGGCAUUCCGCUUAUGAUGUUUUGCUCUGAUUUUAUGGCAAUUGAUACAUUGGUUUUUAUUUGAAUGUUUGGAUGAUGUUGGAAAUACUAUUUUAUCUAUUAUAAAAAUGAAAAUUUUAGGACCAUAUUUUUGAAUGUUACAGAUAUCUCUAGGCCCCUCAAAGAGUUGGUGCUGACAUCUAAAGUACUGGGCCAAGUCCUGACUGAAAUUGGUGCGUUCAAUUUAGUAGUUAGAAGUAAUUGUCACAAAUCUAUUUCAGGAAACAUAAUCUUGAUUUAUUAGAUUGACUAUUAUCCAAGUCUCGAAUUCAUACAUAUAUCAUGAAGAUUAAAGGAAUUUGAAGUCACUACUCUUAGGUCUGUUUAUAGCAAACUUGCUAUAAGUACAGUAGUUGCAUUGGAUUGUCACCCACUGUUAUUUCUAGUAUGUAUUGGCCAAGUCGGUUGUCAAUGCCUAUGUGCAAGUGGGAACUAAUGAAGAAUAGUGUCCAUAGCCAUAAUAGGCGCGAUAAUAUUACUAUAAAUAGUAGUGUCCUUUUGGGUUACAUGUAAGAACAAAAUAAAGCAGAACUGAAAAGACACAUAUUUUAGGGACUUGUUUUGUUAAUUGAUUAAUUAGAAAACAUGGAGAAUAUGGAAUAUUAUAGAAUGGUUUGAUUCUUGGAUAAUUAUCAAAAACCUACAUAAUAACUAAUAUAUUUGGUAAUUACCUUUAAGGUUUCAAACCACCUCCCUAUAAAUAAAGCGCUCAAAUCAAGGUUUUGGACGGAUUAAAACUUAGCCUUCUUACUCCAAAAGUCAGAACCCUUAGGAAAAUCCUAGAAAACCGAACGGCUCGAUGUCACGAUGUGAAACCUCUUCUAUGGUAUUGUGGCAAUGAAUAUUGUCAUCAAUUUGAGCUUUUAUCGCGUUACUUCAUGGUUGGGUGUUUAGAUCUGUUGGGAGUUUUGCGUCUUGGAUGUGAUUACAAGAGAGGAACUCUACUUUGGGUUCUCUAGUCCAAUCAAAUGGAUUGUCAAAAGAAGAAUUUUACGACGAAGUCAAAGGUAUGUUUUCAUUCUAUUAAGUUCUAAAUAAGUUGCGUGGAUUAAUUAAGUUUAGAUCCAAUUGUUUUGAGUGUUAGAUCAAACUUGUUUAUUGUUCUGUUGCCUUAUGUUUGAUCUAAUGAGGCUCGAAAACCAUCAGUUUGCUGAUCAUAAACUGAUGGAGAAGUUAUUAGUGAUGUGAUAAGCACAUGUUGAGAUGGAGUAGAUGUUGGUGGGUGGAAAAAAUAAUGAUCCUGGUGGGCUGGUGAUGAGGAAGGGUGUUGAAUCUGAGAGAUGGUCUCUGUAGGAGGCCUUUGGCAUGUUGAAUUGGAGCACCUGGUGCAUGGACUUGGUGGCAGCCAUAGCCCAUGCGACUAGAGUUGAAGGUCGAAGGUUGUUGCCCUUGGUUGGAGCCCAUGUAAUCUUCUCAUUCAUUAAAUGGCAUAUUAUUUUCCCAUGAAUAUUCUCAUUCAUUAAAUGGUAUAUAAAUAAUACAAAAACAAAUACAAAUGGCUGAUACAUACAUGGUCCAAACAAGAUUACAUGGGCUAUACUAAAUCAUACAUAAAAAGCUAUAAUACAUAGUCUAACAUUAAUAUACUAGAAUAUGUCAAAGUUGAGUAAUAGGUAGUCCCCUUUUUCCGUGAUAAUUGGAAAGGACUCAAUUCCUUCUUUCUUCCCCGGCAAAAAUGUAGCAAGAAUGGUAAAAUAUUUGAAAUAUAAAUGAUAGAUAUACAUUUUUAAUGGGAAAUACUAUUGGUGCUUAACUAGUGGCUAUAUAAAAUAAGACUAAUAUGAUGAGAAGGUGAAUCUUAGACCGACAUUCUGCUAGUGUGAUGUAAUUGUAGGUGUGACUUAUUGGUGUCCUUGUUGAUAGAUUGUCUAAGUGUUAAACGUUCACAACUAUCCAAGAUUUUAUAGGAUGCAAUCUAAAGUACUUUGGCAAGUUUUAUCUAAACUUAUAAAAACUGGUGUAUAUCGACAUACGUUUAUAUACAUAUCUAAUGCAUUGAUGAAUGUAAAAAAAAAAAGUUGGUCGUGUCCACCAAUCCCAAAGUCUAAAUGGGAGGUGAAUCACAAAACACUAGGAAUAUUUUAGUUGUGUCAGGAUCUGACAUUACGACCUACCUGUGGAAUUCAACAUCUCAACUGCGAGGUUGUUAUCAUGGGGACAUGUCCUGAUGAUUUUAUUUAUCUUGUCGUUAAGAACAGCUUAUAUUUUAUAACAUAUUAGAUGAAUUAUUAAAAUGUUAGUAUUUUAUUUAUCUUGUGCAUGUGUGUUUGUGUUCUAUCUGUUAACACACAUGCAUAAGAAUAGAUGAAUUGUGGUGCGAUCAAUGAGGUAUAUGAUAGAUUUUGGGCAUCAAAUAUCAAUGUAAUUACUUCGAUAAAUCAAGGAUCGUGUAUGAGAAAUAUUUUCCAAAAUUUAUGAUUUCGAUCUUAUAGCCUGAGGCAUCAUGAAAUGUGAUUUGGGAUAUCCAAGAGAAUCGAUUUGGAGUUGCAGGCCUAUUCCAAAUCGUAAAACAAUUAAUUGCUUUGCUUUUCUUUGAGAUGUGUUUGUCAGAGACAAUUUUGCAAAGAGAAGAAAACAGUUUUAGUGAUGUUCUAAGUAUCCUGUAACGUCAAAUUUUCCAAUAUAUACGGAGAAGAUGAUGGUUAUGUAGACUUUAACAUAUAUAGAGACAUAAAGGACCGUGUCACACUAAUAUAAGAUACACUCACCCCCCCCCCCCUCUCCACAGAUGGGGGACGAUGGUUAGAUGAUGUCAGACAAAGAUGUGUUAUGCCACAAAGGUGUUGAUGUUGACUCUGAUAUCAAGUAAGAUAUAUGUGUAAUGUAACCUUGUGUCUCCGAAAAAGCUCUUAAGGAGAAAGAUGAGACUCCAAUAUAUAAAGAGAUAUAAACAAUAGUGUUGCACCAAUAUAAGAUACACUAACAAACGUAUAUGUUUGUUUGUGAUGUACAUUUUAAAUGGCAUAGAGGAAAGCCUUAGCAUAUAUUAUGGGUUAUUCCUUGUAGGGAAACAUGUCCUUCAAUUAUAAUUAUAAAGAGGGGCAUACAUUAGUAGAGCCCGGGGACACCUGAGCCACUGCUCCGAUUCCGGCAAUUAGUGUAAUUUUUUUAUAUGUAGUGCAAUGUUUUGAAAUAUAAGUGUCACGAUUGAUUUAGAUUUAUUCAGAAUUUUUUUUAAAUGUCACUAAACUUUAUGCAUCUGCCACUAAUUAUGAGCUUUGUUGUUAUUUUACAAGCUAAAAUGAUAAUUGUCCCAAAGGUGUUAGUUAUUGUCUGCAUUUAAACCUAGCAUCAGUUUUAUGAUCAGUUGACUAGUCGGUUUUUAUAAAAAAAAAAUGUGCAAGUGUUGAAAGAAAUAGAAGAAAAGAGGUGAUGGCGUAAAAUGCUUUACAUUGAUUUGAAAGUAAUGUCGAGGUGUCACGCAUAGAUUGGAAUAAUAGGAGAAAGAAAAAGUUAAUGACUAUUUUAAUAUAAUAAUCUAUAUAAACUGAGUGUGAGAUUGUAAAUAUAUUAUGUUUCACAAAGCUAUAGUCCAAUAAUUCCUAUAAUUAACUCGAGUACAAAUCAUUAGUUAGUCUUGGAGAUAGAGACGUCAUAAUUGACAGUUCAUCUACUAAUAAAUCAUAUAUUCUUAUGAUUUUCAUUUAAAAGAUGGACAUGUAAUGAUCUUCGUAAAUUUGUAAAAUCUGAUUAUCGUAAUUGUUGGAUAAUUUAGAUUGGAAAUAAGUUCGUUUUAUGUUAGUUCAUAAAAAUAAUUGUAUCAAUAGUUGUGUAUUGGCAGGAAGAACCUUUUAGAUUUUUUUUUCUUUAUAUGAACUUGAUUGCCGUCGUUAAUGGUUAAAUCUCGGCAGGUUUGGUCGGAAAAGAAAGUAACACCGAUCAACGGCAGUUAUCGUUCUGUUUUGUUGGGCUGCUGUGAUCUAUGGUGUUUGGCCAGAGCUCAUUGGACUUUUAUAAAGGAAAAAUAUGGCAGAUCUCAACAAAAGGGUAUUUAAAGCCUUAAGGGGCAUGGCCAAAACCUAAAGCCUAAAGCCCACUCAUUAUAACUUUAAAAUUUAGCUAUUUGUUUAAUUAGAAAUUUUGGCUAAAAAUAUAUAAGUUUAUUAGACAUUUUAUCAAGCAAGUCUGCCUUAUUAAACACUAGUUGUGAGACCCGUAUAUUAUACGGGUUGAUUAAAAUAAAAUGUUAAGUACGAAUGAUUAAAUAGAAAUUUUAUUUGAAUUUGAAAAUGAAAUAAGUGAAAAUUAUGAGAAAAAAACAUGCAAAAAAUAAAUAAAUAAAAAUUAUGUAUUUAUUGUGUAGUACACAGAUUAAUUAUAACAAAAUGUUAAAUAUAAAGGUUUAAACCGUAAAUUUAUUUGAAAUUUAAAAUUUAAAAUUAAUGGUAGGUUUAAUUUAUAGAAACCAAAUUAAUGAUAUAUUGAAAAUGAAAAUUAAAGUAAUGAAAAGUGAAAAAUAAAUAUAUCUCAAAUUAUGACAAAAUGACAUGUGGCUAAUAAAUUAUGAGGGAAUGACAUGUGGCAAAGUCAUUUUUAUUUAUUAGGAUAGAUUUUAUCACCAAACAACAAAGAAUUUUGAUCCAAAUAUGCCAACAAACAUUAUAGUAAAUCCCUUGAAAAUGAUAUUCUACUUUUCUCUACGACCAGAGCUCGUCAAACCAAAUAAACCAUUCAUGAAAUGGGAAAAACAUAAGUGUAGGCAACCCCCACCAUCUAAUGACUGCAAACAACAAAUCAAUCGCCACAAAGCAAGAGAAGAACAAAUAGGAAGUCGAUUCCACUCUAGAGUCGCACAACUAGCACAAGAGAGAUAUGACAUCAACACCUCCACGGUUCAGAUUACUCCUCGUUGGGAGUUUAACUAGAACCAAUGAAGGCCAUCUAGUCGGCCCAAAGGUCGAGCCUAGAAACAAUAAAAUCUCCAGAACCAUAUAAAAACCAACACCAAUGAUCUAUUAUCCAGGACUAAGAGAGUGUGUUCAACAUGUCUUCGAGGUGAGCCCACUGAAGGCCAUUAGCUCCACCCUAGGCCUCCUUUGCAACGAAUCAAAAAAGCAAUAAUGACCAAUCUUUGGUUGCAUCGUAAUUCGAGUAUCCAAUUCCAAGCCAAGGCAUACACUCUGAGACAUUGAGAAAUAAGAGGAAUAUUAUCCAACCAAACAUCUUCCCAAAAACGAAGUUAUAGAGCUAUCCACAAUUAUUUUUUUACACUUCAAGAACAAAUCAAUCUCUUUAUCUUACAUAUGGAGGGGCGGAUCCAAUGUUGAGCCCAGGGUAGUCCGGGGUGCCCCUUAUUAUUAUUAUUUUCAGUAGUGUAAUUUUUUCGGAAAAUUUCGUUUUAUGUUGCAGUGAUACCCUAGAAAAAAAAAUUACCCUAAAAAAAAUUGUGCUACCCUUUAAUAUGAAUAAAAUCCUUAAGAAUAACCACCACGUAGAGGUCUGAUGUCUAGGCAAAUCACUCCCAUGAGGCCUUUGAUUUAUUUAGUUGUUAGUGAACCAUACAUAAUUCUACCAUUUUGAAAGUUUUAUAACAUUCAUAUGUUAUUGAGUAAAUUACGGAAAUCGUCUUUAUGGUUUGGUUAGAGUUGCACGUUUGGUCCCUAAUUUUUUUAUUGCACUCGGAUCGUCCCUUUGGUUUGAUUUUGUUGCGUUUUUCGUCCCUUACGUACAUAAAGUUAGGGACCAAACGUGCAAUUUUGACCAAACCAUAGGGACGAAAAACGCAACAAAAUCAAACCACAGGGUUGAUCCGAAUGCAAAAAAACGUUAGGGGACCAAACAUGCAAUUCUUACCAAACCAUAGGGACGAUUUUGGUAAUUUACUCUAUGUUAUUAAAUUUUAUGUUUUGGCACACUUAACCGAACUAUGAGAUUUACCAACUAAAACUUAAAAGAAAAGAAAUUUUGAUAACGACUGCUUUCAUAAUGACAAAGACCUCUUCAAUAAAAACAAAUUAUAGAUGAGGCUUACUAGUUAAGGUCACUAUCAAUGUAGGUAUCAUUCUAGAACUAUAGCGAUUUAGUAGACGGUAUAAUUUGAAAUACUUAAACGAUUAUAAUAGUGUCUUAGGUUAUCCGCAUAUCAUAUUAGAAUUUUAGACUGUACAAGGUGAGUUCAUGUGAUUUACAAGAUGUGAUACAUGUUUAUUUAUUGUGAAAUAAUUGUUAAGUGGCUAGUUAUGUACAUUUUGCAAAAGUUAAGUUAUGUACUAUUUUAGUAUAUUAUGAUAUAUGUACAGAAAAUAUUUUUUAUAUGAUUUUUAUAAGCCCAUGGCGCUUAUAAAUUAUAGUCAUUGGAACCGGGUUUUAUUUCUUUUUUCACAUAGAACUCGCCGACAAUAGGACCCGGUUCAAAACCGGGUUAUUUAAUGGAUAUAACCGGGUUCUACAAGCCUAUAAUCCAACAUAAUGUAUAGUUGCAUAAUAUAUCAUGAUCAACAUAGUUUUCCAGUAUGAAAUCUCGAUAAGUUUUUCAAUAUAUUUAGUUCUAAAUGAUAUCCAUUCAGUAUGUUAUGAUGUAAUGUUUGAUAUGCUUGUUUUUCAAAUGAAAUACGAUAUUUAGUUAGUAUUAAAUCUUGAGCUCACUAACAUAAAGCUGACCUAACAUGUAUCUCAAGAACUACCGUAGCAAUAGUGUUGACCUCGAAGGAAAAGAGAAAGUUUAGAAUAGUUUCAAGUUGUUUCAGCCUAUUCAGUUAUUUUUGUUUCAGGAUUUGUUUUAUAUUGAAUUUUGGAUGUAAUUAUAGAUGUUUUAGUUAAGACUUUUGUUGUAAAGUCUUUUUUUAUUACAUUAUUAGUUAUGAAUUACGUAGUAAUCACAACCCUGUAUCUAUUGUUGGGUGUGAGAAAGCCAAAAUGAGAUGGUCAAUUAUGGUUGAAGACCUCAUGGUAAAGUAAUGCAACACCAUGUAAUGAAGGUUGCUUUAUAUGCUUUUAAGUUUGGGGGCCGAAUAUCCAUUUAGUCAAUUAACUUGGGAGUAACUAGUAGAGAAAUUAUUGUAGCGUGUAAUUACCUUAAACAAACUACAAUUAAGUUUCUAUGAGAUUUAAGGUGUUAGGGAUGGGUUAAGGUUGGAAACCCAUUAUGCAAAAUAGGGAAUUAUCCAAUCCGUACGAUGCAAAAUAGGGAAAUAUGCAAGCUUAUGUCGGUGGGUCGUACGACCAUGGAUUUAAUUUUGUGAGUCCAUGCUAAGGGCCCACACAUGUACUUAGAUGGUGUAUAUAUGUACCAUGUGUACAAGAAUAAGGGGCUACUGGGUGGUAUUGUACGUCCACAUAUAGAAGGUGACAAGACCAUACUUGGUCCCCCAUAUGGAUUAAGACCUGUCAGGAUGAGGGCUUUCUAGACAAAUUUGGUAUGGCCAUACAAGUGUUUAUCCCCGACCUUACCAUAGGAAAGUACAUUUGUAUUAGUUAUCUUUUAGGUCGUAUAGUUUUGAUUGUAGUGUAAUUUUUGUGAUAACCUUUAUAAAGUGAAAUGUAAGUCUUAUACAUCAUUAUUAUGCCUUACAGAUGGUUAAAGGACACUCUGAGGAGUAAGAAGAGUUCUUAUACAAAAGAUUGAAGCGAGUACAUGGUAUUUUCAAGGAAAUGUCCCCAUAUAGAAGCAUACUUUCAUUUUAUGCCCCUUUGGUGUUAUAUAGUAUGUCUUUACUUGUUAUUAUAUGCAUUUGCCUAUGCAUUUUACAACGAACAUCUUUUGUGAAAUAAAUUUGGAGAAGAGGCAUCUUUUAAAUGAUUUUUCAUUUUCAAAAGAUAUACUUGGUAUUCCAUAUAUCAUGAUAAUGUUCCAUUAUUAUGUAGGGUGUUGUGUGUGAGACUAUACGUGUUUUGGAGACUAGAUGAACUUGAUAUCUAAAAUAAGGGACAAGUGAUUUUAUGUCGUUAUGGAUAAACUCGUGUCAUGUGGAGUCUUGAAAAACCUUCAUGUGCUGAUGUGCUAUAUAUGUGAUAGUUCAUGUGGUAGCCACCAUACUAUCUUUUGAGCAUGUGUGAUAGUUCAUGUGCUAGCUACCAUACUAUCUUUUGAGCAGUUGGGUAUGGGAUGUCAUUUGUGCUAACUAUCAAUACAAUUCCUACUCAACCAUCAUGUAUUGUAGAAAAAGGAAUCCCUUAGUAGAAAAGUGAGUGUGUGUGUGUGUGUGUGUGUGUGUGUAUAUAUAUAUAUAUAUAUAUAUAUAUAUAUAUAUAUAUAUCAAGGUUGUAAAAAAUGUUUGACGUUAGGUAGUCGGUGGACUAGAGUUUGUAGAAUAACGUAUUUCCCAUUCCUCACAAUGAAUUACACAAAGCGUACAUAUACAUGAGAUGUGAGCCGAUUAUAUAACAAGGCCAAUAUAAAGAAUACAAGUACAAAUUGGCCAAAUACACAAUAUAAUACAUAUAUCUAUCCGUCCGCUAACAUCCCCACACAGUUUGAUGGGGAGGGGAAUUCCGAACGUUCAAACUAAAAUCAUCGAAUGAAGUAAAUAUCAAUCUCGAUGUAUUUCAUGAGCUGGUGUUGAACUGGGUUCGAUCUCAUUUAAAUGGAGUUGAUGUUCUCACAAUAGACAAUAGUGUCUUUCGUAAUAGGACACUAAAGUUCUCGAAGCAGAUUAUGAACCCAACAAGUCUCGGCAAUGGCGUUGGUAAUGCCACAGUACUCUGCCCCAGCACUAGAUCGAGAUAUGACCCCUUGUCGCUUAGAGGACCAGGAAAUGAGGUUUUUGUCGAGAAAAAUGCAGUAACCCGAGGUCGAGCAGCGAGAGACCAGACACCCGCCCCAGUCGGCGUCCGAAUAAGCAUGAAGAUUUGUAGUAGGGGAAACAUGAAGUUGUAAGCUAUGAUUUAAUGUCCCUUGGAUAUACCGUAGGAUGCGCUUGAGUACAUGCAAGUGAGGUUCCUGAGUGUCGUGCGUGAAUAAACAUAUCUUCUGAGCCGCAAAGGAGAUGUCCUGGCAGGUGAAUGUAAGGUACUGAACAAGGUUGUGAUACAUAGACGGAUCAGCGACAGGUGGUCCGGUGGCAUCCAGUUUAUAUGUAGUCUCGGCUGAAGUACGGGCUGGAUUAUACUGAGACAUAUAAUCUCUCUCUAGGAUCUUAUAGGCGUAGUUACGUUGAGAUGGACCUUGAGAAGACUGGGUGGCAGACAUCCUAAGAAAAUAGUUAAGCGCUCCAAGAUUUGUCAUUGCAAACUCUCGACUAAGCUAAGUGAUAAGAGACUGAAGGAGAGUUAUAGAGGACGCAGUCAACAUAAUUUCAUUGAAGUAUAACAUGAGAUAUUGUGUGUCGGAUCAAUGGUGGUGGAUAAAAAGAGAUGAGUUAGUAAGACUAUAGUGAAACCCUAUGUGAAGAGCAUGCUGAGAAAACCGCUAGUACAAGGCCCUCAAGGCCUACUUUAGUCCAGAAAGAGAUCGAUGGAAAUGGAAAACAUAAUUUGGAUGCUGAGGAUCAUAAAAGCCUAGGGGUUAGUGGAUGUAAUUGUCUCUAGAAGGUGACUGUGAAGAAAUACAUUAUUCACGUCAAGCUAAUGAAUAGGACUGUCUAGAUGUCGCUAUACUGAGCACAAUAUGUAUGGUGGUCGAUUUGACAACUAGGCUAAAUGUUUCUUCAUAAUCAAUCCUCGGUUGUUGACUGCACCCGUUUGGCACUAGAAGAGAUUUUAUAAUGAGAGAAGGAGCCAUCAAAAUUAAAUUUCUAUUUAAAAAGCCACAUGGAACAAACCAUAUUUUCCCCUGGUGGUCAUGACAUGAAAAUUCGAGUACCGUUAGUAAUAAGAGCAUUAUAUUCCUUUUUCAUGGCUAUGGAAGAGGUAUGAAGAUUGAGACAAUGAAUGGGUUUCACAAUUCCACUUUUAGAGUGUGUGUGUAUGUGUGUUAUGAGCAAUAGGAGGUAGAUGAGGGGAAGUCUCAUGAUGCAAAGAUCUCGAGUGAAGAGGGGAGUCAUUGUGAAGAGGAGAUCCCAAAUGAAGAUGGGAGUCCUCAUGAGGAGGAGACUCCAUAGGAGGAGGUAAGUGAUGUGGGUCGACGUGAGGGGAGAAAAGAGAGUUUAUUGGAGGGUUAAAAGCAUGUGAUGAUGGGUGAAGAAUGUCACCCAUAAGGAGAGAUAUAUGAGUCAUCUAAAAAUCAUAGGAUGGGGAUUUCGUGGGGGUGAUCGAACCGUAUAGGAAGAUAAACUCGACAAAGUGAUGUGUUGAGAGAUGAUGAUCUUGCGAGUGGAGAGAUCAAAUCAUCAUAGACCAUAAUGGCAAGUAGGGUACCCAAGAAAGAUGCAUGGGGUGGAGCGGGGUUGAAAUUUAUGAGUAGUGUGAAUUUGGGAAAAGCAAAGAUAACUAAAUACCCAGAGGUGAUCAUAGGUUGGAUGUUUUUGAAAAAGGCGGUAGUGGGGUGUUUCAUUAGAUACGGAAACAGAGGGAAGUAUGUUGAGAAUAUGGGCUUCCAUAUGGAGGGCCUCAGGCCAAAAAGUAAGAGGUAGAUGAUAGUGAAAGAAAAGGGUCCGCAUCAUAUUAUUGAUGGUGCGAAUCAUGUGUUUGGAAUGAACAUUUUUUUGAGAUGUAUGUGGGUAGGAAAAAUGAAAGAUGAUUUCGUGAGAUGUAAAGUGGUUGUGAAACUAAUUAUUAUUGUAUCCCCCCGGUUAUCACAUUGGAAUUGUUUAAUGGUACCCCCGAAGUGAGUUGAGAUUAUGUUGGAAAGAUGAAUAAAUUUAGAAAAAACUUUAGAUUUUUGUUUUAAAGGGUACACCCAUAAUUAAAGAGUGUAAUGAUCAAGAAAUAAGAUAUAAUAUUGCAAACCACCAUUACUAGAAAUAUGAGAUGUCUAUAAAUCAGAUUGAAUAAUCUCAAAAGGUGCACAAACAAUAUAAUCAAACAAAUAAAAUGGAACUCCAAUAUGUUUCCAGGCUAACCAGCAUGGCAAGUAACAUUAUUUUUUGAUGAAGGACAUUAAAUAUAAUUUCUAGUUGAUAAAUGCUUCAAAACUUGAUCUCUGUGGUGAGCAAGUCGUUGAUGCCAAAUGGUUGGAGAGAUGGAGACAAAAACAUGACUUGAAGAUCUUGUGACAGAAUAUAUAGGGGGGCGGAGUUAUCACAAUGGAUGAAAGGACGAAGAAUCUGAUAAUCAAGAAUAGUAAAACCGUAAGGAUCAAAAUCAAUAGAGAAAUUAUUUUGAGUAGUAAAUUUACAAACCGAUAUAUGAUUUUUAAUAAUAUUGGGUGUUACAAGGAUGUUUUUAAAUGGAGAGGACGAUAUAUAUUAAGGAUAGGAAAAGUGGAGUGUCCCAAUGUCACAACAGGUAUUGUAGAACCUUUAUCUGUCGCCUCGGUAUCCAUGACCCAUCCACCUGUUCCGGAGUCAUUAAGAGUCAUUAUGUUGAAUAUGUUUGGAAGUGAAGUGGCCUGGUCAAUACUGCCUAAAAAGGAUCAUGGGGUUGAUAUGGUAUCAAGACUUGAAUGUGAUUCUAUGAUCCAUAAGAUGAUAGUUGGUGAGGGAUAUUGGGUCGGCUGUCGAGUAGGCCUAGGCUGGCGAAGUUGGGUCGAGUCCAUGGUUGAUCCUUCUGGGAGAAUUAUGCCACUAGGAAAGAAGACGACGCAAUCCAAGGUUGUUGUUGUGUUUUAUAUGGAUGAUGGAACUGUAUAGAAGGGCCAUAUAACGAGAGUUGAUGGUGUAUAGGAGCAGAUGAAAAACCCAGCCAUAUUGAGGUCCUUCUAGAUUAGAGGAUGAAUAUGACCCAAUGUGGAGAAAAUAAUAGGAGGACGGAUAGUAGUCAUUGGAUGGGGAAGAAGCAACUCGUUUGUUUCUUAGGCGGGUUUCUUCAAUAGAGAGCAUGAACCGCGUUUCGGAUAAAGAUGGAAAAGGUUUGGUGUUCUGUAUGAUGUUAUAGAUGUUGUCAAACUUACUUAGAAGGUCAUUUAGUGUAUGGAUGAUAACGUUCCUUUCUUUGACCUUCUCCCCGAGUAUCUCAAGAAGGUCCGGCGGAUCCCUAACCUUAUCACAAUAUGCAUGGAUUAAUAAGUCUCCCAAAUAGAUAGUUCUUUGUUCCAUUUCAAGUUGCAUGGUAAUGGAUUCCUUGUUGUCAUAGAAGAUAUAGUGAAGAUUCUGCCACACCUUACUAGUUGUGGCUUUAGGAGAGUGAGCUGAUGUGAUGAGAGAUUAAGAAAUUGAACCAAAUAGCCAUAGAGUAACCAUGUUGUCCAACUUUUCCAACUGAGGGUCUGAUGUCAGUUCAUUUGGAGGAUCAUAUGUUGUAUCAAUUUGAUCCAAAACAUCAUAGUCAUUGCAGUGGUCUUGAAAAAAGCACUCAAUGGUUCAUAGUUGCAUUUGGUGAGGUCGAGAAUGAGGGGAACAUAGGUCUUUAUGUUCGUGAUCCCAUAUGCUUUAUGAGCAUGUUUGGAUUGUGAGGAUUCUUCACUAGGCAUGAUGAAUAAAAGGGUAUUAUUGACAGUGAUAUGAGAAGAAAAAAGAGGAUAAGCAGAAAGAAAUAAAAGGAAGAAGAGUGGAAGGAGCGUCGACAAAGGGAGAGAGUAUGAUCGACUAGGGUUUAGCUCGAUACCAUGUAGAAUAACGUAUUUCCCAUUCCUCACAAUGAAUUACACAUAGUGUACAUAUACAGGAGAUGUAGGUUGAUUACAUAACAAGGACAAUAUAAAGAAUACAAAUACAAAUGGGCUAAAUACACAAUACAAUAUAUAUAUAUAUAUAUAUAUANNNNNNNNNNNNNNNNNNNNNNNNNNNNNNNNNNNNNNNNNNNNNNNNNNNNNNNNNNNNNNNNNNNNNNNNNNNNNNNNNNNNNNNNNNNNNNNNNNNNNNNNNNNNNNNNNNNNNNNNNNNNNNNNNNNNNNNNNNNNNNNNNNNNNNNNNNNNNNNNNNNNNNNAUUAAUUGGCUACGUUGGGAUUAAUCCGGGACCCUAAAUUUCUAAUUAUUUGAAUUUUUAAAAAUUGAAUAUGAAUAACAGCAUAACAAUUUGUAAAUUACAUCAAUAUCAAUAUGAUUAAUACAACAAUUAUCAUUACUCAGAUAGUUUCUAUUGGUAUAGAACUUCUUCAAAAUAUUAAAAUUUUAUCGUUUAUUACUACUUCGCUCAUUGUAUAGGCAAGGGUUAAUUAUUAGGCGUCUUCUAGUCGGUCGGGUAGCGCCUAGGGACUAAUCGAUGAUUAUUCGGGGCCUAGUAGGGAUUUUUACAACACUGAUAUAUNAGCACACACACACACACACACACACACACACACACAUAUAUAUAUAUAUAUAUAUAUAUAUAUAUAUAUAUAUAUAUAUAUUCAUUUGGAUUUUACUUUUUUUUUACAAUGUAUAUUGUUUGCAUGAAAUGUUUCCCCAAAAAUGUGGUUCCAAAGGUGUUUGAAAUGUUCCAGUCAUAUGCGUUAUUAAAACAUACUGAAUAUGGUAUGUUUUUAUAUAUUAUUUUUCUUGAGAUGACGUUUUGAUUACAAGAGGUGUGAAAGGCUCUAACCAACUUAUCAAAUAUUAUAAAUAUCAUCAAGUGAGCUAAUUUUCAUUAUACCGUUUAGAACUCCUUAGAACACCUUAUUGUAUACAUAACAUUUUGAGAGUUCUUUUUGUUAUUGAGAUAUUACUUGUCAAAUUCUCAAUGAUCUUUCAUAAAUAAAAAACAAUCAACAUGUAUUUUUGAAUUAGAUCUGCGAGUAUUCUUAAUUAUGCUAGUUCAUAUUGGUAUCUUGUUGUGAGGAUCCAAUAGGUUGUGGCGUUGUGUGGAUGGCCUUAGUGAAGGUGGGUUAGGAAUAUCACCCUCAAAACUCUCUUUCAUAGUUUACUCACUCUUAAUUAGCUCAAGUUUCCAUUUCCUUCUCAUAUCCUUCCUUUCCUUCUUAUGUUCUAUCCUAAUCCAUUAUCUAGUUCAAAUUCUUCUUCCUUUGAUUUACCUCCUUCACUAGAUACAUCAACUUUUCUCUUCUUUCUCUUCUUCUUCUCACCAUUAUUUGCUUACAUCCUUAUUAUGCUCACUUGACUUUCUACCGUACUGUAACAUCCCAAAAAAUAAGACGCAAAAACUUCAUUUUUGAUUUAACAAAAUCAUUAAUCCAAACAUUGUCAUGCAACCCCAAAAGAUCAAUGUAUGUCACUACAUCAAAACAUAUCAUACAUAACUGCCCCCGCCCACUGAGUAUAACGGGCCCCGCCCAAACUCGCAUAAUGGGCCUCGCCCACUGAAUGUAACGGGCCCCGCCCACACUCACAUAACGGGCCCCACCGAUUGAGUAUAGCGGACCCCACCCAAACUCGUAUAACGGGCCCCGCCCAAUGAGUAUAACGGGUCCCACCUAACGUACAAGUUAUGUAAGCAUAUACACAUACAAGAGUCACACAGACAUGUAGUAUCCUAGCAUAACUGAUCACGGGUCGGCAUUGGUGCCUUAGACCCGUUAAACAGUGUGACGAAACUCACAUCACACUGCUGAAUCUCACAAAAAAAUCCCCGGCUACUGGCCCGCUAAAAUCCCCGCGCUAUCAAUCAUGAAAUAACAUCCAAUUAAUAAUUGGAUCCCAACCCACACUAAGAGUCCAAACUUGGGUAAAAUACCUUUUUACCCUUUCCUUAAAUUGGCCCAAGACCAAGGCCCAAUCCAAUUGUCCAAAUGCCUAAUUUCCAAAAUAAUCACCCAAAGCCCAAAUAUAGCUAGAUUUUCCAAAUUGGGCCCAAACCCCCUUCAUGGGCCUUCAACCAAAAGAGUCCAAUAAAAUAUUAACAACCCAACAAGAGAAUUUUGAUGGCCCAACAAGUCCUAAGACAACAAAAGUCCAACAAGGCCCAAAACUAAGAAGCCCACAUAUCUGAAGCCUAUUGUUGAGUACGCAUGGCAUACUCAACUCGUACGCUUAGCGUACUCGCUUUAGGCCUUGUACGUGCAGAGUACCUAUUUGUACGCCCAACGUACUCCACCAACUUGGCCAACUAUCUCAUUCAACUCUUAAAUGGUUAAGACUUCACUCUAACACUUACAUAUGACUUCCUUAAGGUGGUUUAUCACGUAAAGUUGCCAACUUUACGUGCAUGCAUGGCUUAAGUGAGGCUUUUAGAGCUCAAAAGAGCUUAAAAAUGACUUAACACAUGCAUGAGACCAAAAAUACCAUAAAGCUUGCAUUUUUUGGACAAAGGUACCUAAAGGACCCUAGAUCUACCAUCAAUCACUUUUGGAGUGAAUUAAGAGGCUCAACAACCAAACCAUGGCCUCAAAAGCACAAAAUGGCAUCAAACUAGAUCUAGCAUCAUGGAUUAGCAAGAUGGAAGCUUUUUACCUCACAAGGAAAGAAAAUGAAGAACUAAUUUCAGAUCUUCAAGCUUCAAGCACCACAUUAAAUGGUUCACUUCUUAUUCUUCUUCACAAAGCACCAAGAAUCAAACUUUAAGGCUCAAACUCUCAAGAUCGCACUUAGGGUUCGAUUUUCUGGACAAUAAGGGAUGGAGAUUGUCUAAAUAUGACCUAGUAAGGCUAUCACAAGGUUUAAAUAGGAUGAAAUACCCUAAAAUUAGGGUUUCACUUAAUCGUAUGUACUCCAUGCGUUCCCUUUGCACACCCAGCGUACGUGAACCAAAGGCGAGAUCAACCCGGGCUAGUAUGCCAAGCGUACCUCUUAGUACACCCCACGUACUAGCUUAGAGACCACUACAAGAAAAAACCGAAAUAACUACAGAAAAAUUCCGUAGCUAAAACAUGAUAUUCCGUAGUUAAGUGUGAUUAGAGACGGAAUUUGCUACGGAACCCAUUUGUUGCAAAAAUCUUCGUUACUAAACUAUUGUUACGGAAUCCGUAGGACCUUCGCGACGGAUUUUGCAACACACUUAUUCCGUAGCAAAAUAGCUAUAAACUAUAUCCGUAGCAGUAACGUAGCAAAUUAACUACAAUUGUUGUCCGUAGCAAAUUACCAACGACUCGAUCUGUAGUUAAUCUGUCACAAAUUAACUACAAUUGUUUUCUGUAGCACAUCCGUAACAAAUUAUUUACGACCUGAUCCAUUGUUAAUCUGUCACAAAUUAACUACAAACCAUCACCGUAGCUAAUUUCCAUAGCAAAUCCACUACAGAUAAUGUGGUAGCAAAUAUUCCAUAGUGAAUCUACUACGAUCUAAUUAUGUAACAGAUAGUUAGUAGUAGAUUUCACGGUAGUGGUUUCAAGCUUUUCUUCAUUAUUCACAUUUUUGUUACAAUUUACAAUAACAUCAAAUUAACAUACACACAAAAUAAUACACACACAGCAUCAAACACACCCUCCAUGGCGGUCCUUGAGGCGGCAGCCACCAUGGCCGGCGGCCAUGGUGGUUCUUCCUUGGCUUUUCUCCGGCAGCAGUAAAUCCGAGACUCACACCAACUAGUGAGUCACGGCUGAACACACACACACAUAUACCCACGAGCUUGAAGCAGCAACACACAAAAUACUCACAGAGACCUCGACUUCUUGCUUAGAAAAUAACCCAUCACCACCACAGGUGGGUGGUGACGGCAGGAGCUCAAGAAACGGUAGCAGCGACGCUACACCGGAACGAGAACGGAGAUAGAGAGGAAUGACACAGUUGGGGCUGUUUCCCUGUUGACAGCAGCAACGGUGUCGGUCUCGCCUCCCUGCUUCCGGCGACCCAAGAGAAACCCUCGCUGCUCACGACUUCAUUGGCGGCAGGAGGAUCGAUGGCAGCUUCGAAUCGACAGCAACGACGACAAGGAACGGAGAAGAGAGAGAGAAAGAAGAANGGAACGAGAAGGAGAUAGAGAGGAAUGACACAGUUGGGGCUGUUUCCCUGUUGACAGCAGCAACGGUGUCGGUCUCGCCUCCCUGCUUCCGGCGACCCAAGAGAAACCCUCGCUGCUCACGACUUCAUUGGCGGCAGGAGGAUUGAUGGCAGCUUCGAAUCGACAGCAACGACGACAAGGAACGGAGAAGAGAGAGAGAAAGAAGAACACAACAUCGACAGCUUCUCUCUCGGGAAUAUCCUUCGACCAAACACGACAACAGAACCAACAUGGGCAGCGGUAGUGAUGCUUGACGACUCCAGCAAUAGCGGUGGAAGGUAACUCGACAGAGAAGGGGAGGGGGUAGCGGCGCUGAAGGUGAAGGAGGGUGAAGGCAAGGUUGGCGGCUAUUCAUAGCUAGGUUUAGGGUUCACGGGAUGAUGGGUUUUAUAUCCCGAGUCCCAUACCAUCUAUCCCAUAUUGACAAGAUUAACCCCUCAUUCCCCAAAUUCUUUCAAAACUAACUCAUAAUUUACCUUUCUAACCCUGCUCUCUAUAAUUCUUUUCAAAUCAGG